rnacentral:lncRNA from 1 species
ACGGCACCUCUGCGUUCAACACACGUACAGCCCGGUGACGUCUCCCAUGCCUUGAUCCAGCAAGGAGUGAGGGAGAGGUUGAGGAAGACUCCAUCCAGCAGCAGCACAACGGCGUGGUGGUGGUGGAGGAGCAUGGUGAUCCAGCAGGGCUUCGCCAAGCACUACGAGAGACGAGGAGAAAGAGAAGUAGGGCUGCACCAACAGGGAGAGGAACUCGUGUGUAUUGGGCAGCCCAUACCUCAACUAUAUAUAGGGGAAGGGGAGGGGCUGCGCCCCCACCUAGGGUUCCCUCCCUAGGGGUGGCGGCAGCCCCCUAGAUCCCAUCUAGGGGCGGCCAAGGGGAGGGGAGAGGGGGAGGCACACCAGGGUGGGCCUUAGGGCCCAUCUUCCCUAGGGUUUGCCCCCUUCCCCUCUUCCUUGCGCCUUGGGCCUUGGUGGGGGGGGGGGGCACCAGCCCACCUGGGGCUGGCCCCCUCCCACACUUGGCCCAUGCAGCCCUCCGAGGCUUGUGGCCCCACUUGGUGGACCCCCGGGACCCUCCCGGUGGUCCCAGUACGUUACCGAUAAAACCCGAAACUUUUCCGGUGACCAAAACAGGACUUCCCAUAUAUAAAUCUUUACCUCCGGACCAUUCUGGAACUCCUCGUGACGUCCAGGAUCUCAUCCGGGACUCCGAACAACAUUCGGUAACCACGUAUAACUAUUCCCUAUAACCCUAGCGUCAUUGAACCUUAAGUGUGUGGACCCUACAGGUUCGGGAACCAUGCAGACAUGACCGAGACGUUCUCCGGUCAAUAACCAACAGCGGGAUCUGGAUACCCAUGUUGGUUCCCACAUGUUCCACGAUGAUCUCAUCGGAUGAACCACGAUGUCAAGGACUUAAUCAAUCCCGUAUGCAAUUCCCUUUGUCUAUCGGUACGAUACUUGCCCGAGAUUCGAUCGUCGGUAUCCCGAUACCUUGUUCAAUCUCGUUACCGGCAAGUCUCUUUACUCGUUCCGUAACACAUCAUCCCGUGAUCAACUCCUUGAUCACAUUGUGCACAUUAUGAUGAUGUCCUACCGAGUGGGCCCAGAGAUACCUCUCCGUUUACACGGAGUGACAAAUCCCAGUCUCGAUUCGUGCCAACCCAACAGACACUUUCGGAGAUACCUGUAGUGUACCUUUAUAGCCACUCAGUUACGUUGUGACGUUUGGCACACCCAAAGCACUCCUACGGUAUCCGGGAGUUGCACAAUCUCAUGGUCUAAGGAAAUGAUACUUGACAAUAGAAAAGCUUUAGCACACGAACUACAUGAUCUUGUGCUAGGCUUAGUAUUGGGUCUUGUCCAUCACAUCAUUCUCCUAAUGAUGUGAUCCCGUUAUCAACGACAUCCAAUGUCCAUGGUCAGGAAACCGUGACCAUCUGUUGAUCAACGAGCUAGUCAACUAGAGGCUUACUAGGGACAUGGUGUUGUCUAUGUAUCCACACAUGUAUCUGAGUUUCCUAUCAAUACAAUUCUAGCAUGGAUAAUAAACGAUUAUCAUGAACAAGGAAAUAUAAUAAUAAUCAAUUUAUUAUUGCCUCUAGGGCAUAUUUCCAACACCCUCAACUUCAAAUGGCUGGUCGUGAUUGUCUAUGGGCCGGCAGACCAUCGCCGCUCUCCGGCCUUCUUAGAGGAGCUUCAUCUAAAGAUCUCCAACUCUCUCCUCCCGGUCGUUGUGGGCGUAGACUUUAACCUCAUCCGAUCCCCGGAUGAGAAUAAUAAUGACCGGAUUAACCUCCCCCGGAUGCAGUUAUUCAACGACUGGAUCGCGGAGCUGGGUCUCCGUGAACUGGACCGGACGGGUGCCCGUUUCACUUGGACAAACCGCCAGGCUGACCCGACGUGAUCCGUUUUGGAUCGCGUCCUAGUUUCCCUGGAAUGGGAAUUAUGCUGCCCCCUGGCCUCGCUUCGUGCGAUUACCCGGAUCGGGUCUGACCAUGUCCCCCUCCUCCUCUCCACCGCCAACGAACGCCCACCCUCCCCGCCGCGCUUCCGGUUUGAGCUCUUCUGGCUCAACCAGGCCGGCUUCCGGGAGGCGGUGGCCGCUCGCUGGAUCUAUGCUCGUUCUUCCCCGCAUCGCGCCAUGUCGGCUGUUGACUCGUGGCACUUUUGUGCCAAGCUUGCCCGACAAUUCAUGAGAGGGUGGGGUGCAAACCUUGGCCGGGACCUCCGUGAGCGGAAAAGGCCCUUCUGCUGGCUAUCCAAGCUCUGGAUGCCCGUGCUGACACGUCUGGAAUCUCCCCAGAUGAGUGGGUGGUGCGAUAUGACCUUGAAGACCAUCUUUCAACCAUCUACACCGACGAAGAGGCCUACUGGCGUCUGCGUGGUACCCAGUGGUGGGUACUUCGGGGAGAUGCCAACACCGCCUAUUUCCAGGCAGUGGCGAACGGCCGCCGGCGCCGCAACUCCAUCCACUGCCUCUGGGAUGGAGAGACCCCUCUUGUUCGCCCCUCGGCCAUCCGUUCCCAUGUGGAUGGCUUUUACAAGGCCCUAUUUCCCCCACCCCUCGGGGUAGGGCUAGUCUCGCCCCCGACAUUUGGUCCGGUGCUCAAUUGGUCUCGGAUGCGGCCGAUGCUGCUUUAGUGGCCCCCUUCGCCGAAGAUGAGGUUCUCGAGGCUAUUAAAGGGAUGACCCCCUCCUCGGCCCUGGGUCCGUAUGGCCUGCCAGUGACGUUUUUUAAGACGUUCUGGCCGACCAUCAAACCGGAGGUCAUGGCCCUGUUCGAGGAAUUCUUCUCAGGCACUAUGGAUCUUGCGCGCCUCAACUACGGCAUCGUGACACUCAUCCCCAAGGUCCCGGGCGCCUCCGACAUCCGCCAAUUUCGACCAAUCACCGUGAUCAAUGUGAUAUUCCGGAUCUUGGCCAAAGGGUACGCCAACAGGGUGACUCUGCUCGCGGACGCGAUUACCCACCCGAAUCAAUCCGCCUUCAUUAAAGGCCGAUUUAUUCUUGAUGGGGUUCUGGUAUUCCACGAAGUCCUUCACGAGGUCCGGCUGAGACACCAUCGGGCGGUGUUUCUGAAGCUCGACUUCCACAAGGCCUAUGACACGGUCCACUGGCCCUUCUUGCGGGAAGUGUUGCUUCGCAAGGGCUUCGACGGCCGUUGGGUGACUACGGUCAUGCAGCUCGUCUCCUGCGGAUGGACUGCUGUGAACAUCAACGGGGACAUCGGGCCCUACUUACCCACCCUCUGCAGGGUUCGCCAGGGCGACCCUUUCUCGCCUUUUCUGUUCAACAUGGUGGUUGAUGCCAUGGCAUCCAUCCUUGAUAAGGCCAAGGAUGCUGGCCAUAUUCAUGGUAUCGUCCCUCACCUCGUCGGAGGGGGAGGGGUCUCCCUCCUCCAAUAUGCGGACGAUACCAUUAUUAUGGUGGAGGGCACCGCCCAAGACAUUGCUAACCUAAAGUUCCUCCUCCUGUGCUUCCAACAGAUGUCGGGCCUAACCAUUAACUUCGAUAAGAGCGAAGUGAUGGUGUUCGGGUUCCCCCCUGAGGAAGCACAGUCCAUCGCGGAUCGCCUUAAUUGUAGGUUGGAUUCUUUCCCCACGACAUACUUGGGGAUCUCCAUUAGUGACUCGCGCCUCACCGUGGCGGACCUCCGCCCUACGGUGACCCGUAUUCAACAUCGAGUUGAACCCUGGAAAGGGUGUUGGCUGUCUAAGGCUGCUCGGGUGAUUCUUAUCAACUCUUCGCUGGCUAGCCUUCUAUGGUUCCUCAUGAGCUUCUAUAGCCUCCAUGAAACCCUACAUCAGGAGAUCGGCAAGUACCAAUCCAGAUUCUUCUAGGCUAGAGAGGGAGAUAAGCAGAAGUACCAUAUGGUUAGCUGGCCUGAUAUCUGCAAACCCAAGGACCAGGGAGGUCUUGGGAUCCUGUCCUCCCGCCGCAUGAACAUAGCCCUCCUGACUCGUUGGCUCUAGCGCAUUGCCAAUCGCGAUGGAGGUCUCUGGCUCACCAUCAUCCAGAACAAAUAUCUUCGUGGACAGCCCCUUGCUUUCUGUCAGCGCUCGGGCAAUUCCCAGUUCUGGCAGGCCGUCGUCCAGCUGCUUCCGGUGCUUCGAAUUGGCACUUCCAUAGCGGUUGGUACCGGAUCUUCGACCCUGUUCUGGUUUGACCGAUGGCUUGGGGUCUCCCCCUUGGCCGCGCGAUUCCCUAUGCUCUUCACAAUUGCAGUUGACCCUCGUAUCUCUGUCGAGGCGGCCCUUAUUGACUUAGGGCUCCUCGCCUUCCGCUGCCCCUUCGGCCCUCCCGAAGUUGCUGCCUGGGACGCCCUUAUGCAGGACAUCGCCCUCCUCCCUAUGGACGGCGUUGACUCCCCGGAUGUCACUUUGUGGCGGCUUGAGCCCUCCGGCUGCUUCUCCACCAAAUCCCUCUACGCGGCCAUCGCCCCCUCGACGGCUCCCGAACCCUUUAGUUUGAUUUGGGAUAUCCGCCUGCCCUUGAAGAUCCGGAUCUUCAUAUGGCGAUAGAUUCGUGGCCGCCUCCCAACGGGCGUGGAGGUCCGUAAGCGUAAUGGACCUGGGAACGGGAUGUGCCCCUUGUGCGACACGAUGGAGGAUGCUAACCACAUCUUCUUCUCGUGCCCUACGGCCCAGUUCCUCUGGUCCUGCUUCCGCGAGACUGUUGGGGGCCAGUGGUGUAACACCAACUUCCGUGACCUGCUUGCGGAAAUCCAUGCUUCCAUCGGGGGCUCCUUCUCCCCGGAUCUGGUCGCAGCCCCCAAUCUCAACCAGCGACGCCAGCCACCACCACCCCUCUGUCGUCGUUCCUCGCCGGCCACGACGAGGUCCUCCCUCCGGCAUCGUGGAUCUAGGUCCCCUUCUAACCCAUAGAUGGAUCCCAUCUACCUCAUCCACACCUGCACGCCCGAUCUAGGAUCUCCGGUGCUCUUCCUCUCCUCAAGGGGCGUGGCGGCCGCCCUUUCCCUGCGGGUCGAGCGGGAAUACAACAUUCCCUCUUCUUCACCGUGCCAACGACCGCCACGACCUUGGUGCAUGGAGACGCGCCGCUGGCCGCCGCAACGUGGUGCGCAAUAAGAUGCGCCGCUCGGAAGCGGCCAUAGCUAGUGCACACGGAGAUGCGCGAGCCCCUGUUUGGAGGGACUGCCCAAGAGCGCGGCUACAGCGAGCGAGCGCCUUGGCAGCAUCGGCCCUCCCGCUGCCAUACUCCCCCCAUCUGACUUGCAUCUGCCGGCGACCGGAGGGUACGACAACGGUGUGGACGCCCUCGGCAAUGGGAAUGCUGCACGGGAAAAGUGGCGAAGGGGAGAAAAGGACCGCCUCCUCUGCUGCAGGUCACCGGAGCUCAUCCUCUGCAGGUCACGGGAGGUGCGGUGGCGCCAUUACUUCACUGCCCGUCAUAGCGACUUCUCUCCACAGGGGUAAGAAUAGUGGAAUGCUUCGUUUCUGUUUCGGUUUUUUAUCUGAACCUUGUUGCUGCAAUGGCGUGACAUGAAUACACUAAUCACCUGACAAUUAAGAAAUUCUAUAGCUUUAUGGUAUUUAUCUGGGAGUAAUUCCUGUUGCUUGUGACUAAGGACUUCUGCCUAUGUUGGCCUUUUGUUGUUAUUAUAUGCAGGGUCCGAGACAAGCACAUGAUUUGGGUCUGGACAAUUUAAAGUUUUAGAACAUGAGUUAAUAUAGAUUUCCAGUACCCAUUCUUGUCACGUGAUGCUGUAGUUCGCCUAGUUAGCAACUUAGCAUUACCCCCUGAUAACAGUUGGCCUCGCCGUCGUAACUCUUAUUCUUAUCAGAAGUAUUUUACAUGUUCACUAAGUUCCUGACCAUAGGUGAUGCACUUGAUCAUAAUUUUGUUUCCAUUUUAAUUUAAAUUGGGCAGUCUAUCAGUUUUCUGCAGCAAGACGAUUAUCUGUAUCUUCAAAGGUACUUAGAUUAUUAGCAUAUUUGCAAUACCAUAAGGUCGAUCACCUUUUCCUAUGAACUUUCUCACAUGGAUCUUGAACCAUUCAAGGAUUAAAUUCAGAGCCAUUGUGGUAAAAGUAACUAAUUCACUGUUGUGUUUUAUGCGCUGUGUUCUUUUACAUUGCCUUUGAGUUUAUCAUAUGUUUUGAAGUGGCUGAGAAAACCAAGUAGCUGAGUUCUGGUAUAGUAAAUGAUUAUCUGAUUUUCCGACUGUAGCCCCUGAUUUGAUGUCAAUUUACUUUGCUAGGAGUUGAAUUUGAGUGGUCUUGGUGUGCCCAAUGUACUCCCUGCAGAUGGGGAGACAAGUGAUGUGGUGAAACUUGAUCUUUCGAAGAACUUGAUAGAAGAUCUGCCAAAUGAGUUGUCCCUGUGCUCAUCACUUCAAGUGAGUUGAACUCUUCUGUUGGUUUGCUUGGAAGAAAAGAACCAUUACUUGAAAAUUAGCUAUGAAAUAGACUAAAUCAUUUAAGCUUGGUUGAUAGAUAAAAUUCGGUUCAUGUGCUGGUGCAAGUGUACAUUUUUCUGUUCAAUGAAGAGUGUGUUUACUGGUAUGGCAGAAUGCAGAAUGCAGAGUGCAAUACAAAGGUUCAGCACCACUCUGCUGCGCGCUGGUGGUGACCGACCUGCACUGUGUUCCUUGCAUCAUCUACAAACCACUUUAGUGAGCACUUGUAUCUCUGCCUCCCUCCUCUACUAUGAGCCCGUGGCUGUGGCAUACACUGUUUUGUGGCCAUUGAGCUGAACCUGAUCCAUGGUUAGUUAGGGCAUUGGUGUUGUUUGGGCUCAAUUAGCUCAAUUCGAUGUUGUUUAGGCUUGAGCAAAGUUGUUCUCUUGUUGAAAUGAGAGGGAUAAGGUAGGUGCUGCAGCUGUUGGCAAUCGUCUAUAUGCAAUUGUAGGCAACCAGAGAAUAUGUGUUGCAUUUGUAUGCCGUCAUGUUUAAAAUUUGUGUCUGGAAGUUAUUACUAGAUCUACUAUCCCAAUAUUUUUUUCCUAAAUCUCAUGGUAAAUCUGGAAGUUGUAUUGCGUAUAUGUGUAUUAUGCCAUACCAGUAAACUCCUAAAAGCAAGUGGAGCUGAACCUUUGUAUUGCACUCUGCAUUCUGCAGAUUACGCUAUACUUAUUCGCAUGUCAUGCUAUAUGAACAGGCACUGCGGUUGUGAUUGUUAUGCUGGGAGCGAUGUUCCUCAUGGUCCCAGUAAUGCUGCUAGUACGGAAGAGGCACUAGAUCCUUGUUGUCACAUUCCUUGAGCUCUCGUUGAUGGAGGAUAAAUGGAACAAGUGAUCAUCUAGUGGAGACAAAGAGUAAGACACAACCUCUUUGCUCUUCCUGUUCGUAAUAAGAAGGAAUCCUUACUCUAGUGUCCCAUUUACUUGUAGCUUUAAAAAAUUUGAUACACAAUAUAUAUGAUGCUUCCAUGCUUUUCAAGUUUUUUGCAAUAUUGUUUUUCUCUAUAUUGCACCUAGAACUGAAUGUUCGAUUGGAUCAGGCAGGUAACAUUGUGAGUAGGCCUUCUUGCCUGUUUACUUUUCGCUUGGAUCAGGCGUUCAUGUAAACAGGAUAGCUCCAACUCUUGUUUCAAGAGUCAGUAGUACGCUGAAACUGCAUUCUAGUAAAUAGGGGUUACUUCUCAAAUCUGAGAAAUUUAAAACCAAUCCUCAUUGCUGACUGGCGGUGUAUAUAUAAUAAUGGUAUAUGAAGAUGAACUCGGCAAAAACUCAGCUUUUACCUUCAAAAUAUAUGUACAGAAUUUCCAGAUAUAAUCUGAAAUGUCAACUGAGCAUUAUCUGUGACCUUUAAAACCAAAAACCUACUGUAUGGACAAACAUAAAUCAUACUACUGUUCUUUGUCUACAAAUGAUGUGCAUUAUUUUGUUGGUGGGUUUUCUCCCUAGGCAUUUCUUUUUCUAUCCUUUUUGUCUCCUGUAGCCCGUGAAUAUGUAUUCCAGAAAUAAGUUUAAUCCGAAUCUAAGAAGAAAAUUACAUAGUUACAUUGUGGCAGUCCUACAAUAAGAAUACAGAGGUUUAAACCCGUUUAUUUGUGUACUACGCACAUGUAUUAGUGAGUCAAUUUAUUGUUGUUUUAUACUAAAUACUUUGUUAUUCUCAUUUGUAGGCACAAUAAGAUUUAAGGAUUUUGGAAAGCAUGUAAUUUGUUUUUUAUAUUUCUUCUACUAUAUAUUCAUAUCUACAAAUGUCUAAUGUUGUUGUGAAUAUGGUAGGUAUGUUGCUGUCCAUCACAAUCCGCCAAGACAUAUAGUUGCCAUCAGGAAGGGUUGACGACAAGAACACGAGUGACAACCUUAGUAGUUUAUAUGUGUUGUUGAUGUAAAUUGGAUUGUACCGGUUCCUAAUCCUUGUUGUGUGAUAUAUGUUGUCAAUAUAUGUUGUAUAUUAUCAUUUCAUGGAGGAUAUUCUAAACUGCUAGGUUUUAGAUACCUAUGGAUGGUAGCACAUUAAGUGAUUUUUUCAAUAUAUGUUGUAGAUACCUAUGGAUGGUUGCAUAUUGAGUGAUUUGGUCCAAAAUUGGCAUUAUGAUUUACGGAACACAUUAUGCUAAAAGUGUAUUUGAUUAAAAUUGGGCUGAAGGAACGGACGGGACCAAAUUUUAAUUGAUCCUAAAUCCAUGACGGUUUCUGUGACGAAAAUAGUGUCCAUGUAGGUAGCCAUGUCAUUCCAGUUAGUCAAUUGAAAAUUCUACGUGGCAUUGGUUCAUGACGGUCUGUUCCGUCACAGCCUAGUGUGGGCUUGGGCGGGCCUGAGGCAGUUCCACGACGGCCAAGAACCGUCAUGGAAGCUAUGAUGUCAAAUUAUGACGCGAUAUACAUGAUGGAUCUCAAGUCCGUCAAGCAUGGACACGCAUGACAGUUUUUGGUUGUUCCGUGACGGCUAAGGACCGUCACGUAUUAACAGAUUUCUUAUAGUGUUUGCGCCCCCGCUCCUCCCAUCACCACCGGAGCCAGGCUAGAUGUUGUGCAGCACCCUCCGUGUGCAUGCCUUUUUUUGCUUUUCAGGGCUUGUUGAGCUGUGCCCUCAACAUUAACCCUUUUGACUUCUUGCCGUGUCAGACAUGUGUGUGUGUGUGUGUGUGUGUGUGUGUUGUGGACGAACUUUGUUGGCUGUUGGGCUUUAUCUAUAAAGCGGGGCGAAAGCCUUUUUCGGUAAAACAAGGUUUGGAUGUGAGAACGACCCAUCAUUUGUGAAUGGAAGGAGCCUAAUUACAUCUGCCGUAGGUAUGAUUGGUUCCAGUUCACCUCCUGAAUGCAUUUCGGUGGUGGAGAUGUUGUACACAACCAAUGCAUGGUGGAGAGGAAACUGGAGCGUCCCGUACAAGGGACUUACAAGUAUGGUGUCUAAUGGAACAUUGUCAUCAUCGUCCACACACGUACUGCAAAAACUAUUAGAGAUGCUAGAUUCGAGAGGCCCACAUGACAGAGAGAGGAGGAACCAGGCUACGACGAUAGUGGAGCGCCUUGCAUUUAAAUCAAGUAGGACGAGUUUCCCUGGGGGAUUCAACACAUUUCUUCCCUCAUCGGGAUGUUUGAACAAUAUAGUAUAACUGAGCCAUAUCAUCGAGACUGUUUGUAUGACGAGUAUGAACAUCAUUGGAAUCUACGUGCUCGUUUUGCGCCCCCUUCACCAAACGGACACUAUAAUGACAGUAAAGUUCGGACAGACUAUAAGGAAAUGUUGUUGCAUGGAAUGUUUAUCCCCCGGAAGCUUGCAAUGGAUGAAAGCAAUUGUAGAGUCAUUAGUGACACUAGAGGUCUGGUCUCCAAGAUCAUGGCGCCGGUCACCUCUGACCUACUCGAUCACACCACCAAUGAUCAUGGUGCAUGGUAUGAUAUAUAGAGGGGUCAAUGGAAGUGAUGAUCCAAUUAACCAGUGCUCCCGGAGAAACUGGGGCCAAAAUCUGUCAUGAAAUCUCAAGCUGUGAAAAAUCAAUCAACACUCUGCGGAGGAUUCUUGGUUGUAAUAAAUGUAAUGAAGAGUUGCAGCAAAGAGCUAUCUGGAUUCUCUCAAAACUAUAUUACAUCGAUAAUACUGAAAGCGGCAGAUCCAAAGAUUUUGUUCUUAUCAAAAAGGAAAGCGGUUGUGGCGGAGAAGAUUUUGUUAGGAUGAUGGUGUACAUCUUCAUUCAUGAUAACAAGUAUGGAAGCUUCAUCAGAGCAUGAGCUGGAGAAGCACUCUCAGAGAUAUGUUUCCAUCACGGAAUUAAUAGUGCAACAAUUGUGACACAAACAAAUGGUGAUGAUGUUAUUGAUGGUCUAGCCAGAGUGUUUGUCCAAGACAAGAACGAGACAUGCACACAAAAAGCAGCUGAAUUUCUGUGAGUGCGUCUGACCGGUGUGUGCCCUGGACCCAGACAAUGGCUUGGUUGGGGCCUCCGGCUUUAGAUGUUAGGCUUCAGUCUGAAGUCUAUUUGGUAUUCAGCUCGGACUUUCGGUGCCCCUUCAUCAAGUGGUGGAUAGGAGUAGUGACUUAUGUUGCUAAGAUGGUGGCUUCAGAAUUACUGUUGUAUUACUUUGUAAGGUCUUUAUGAAUAAUUAAUAAAUUGGGGUCAUCCUCCUUUUUGAAAAAAAAAUACUUGGGAAACGCCAUUGCGAAAGGAAAAAUAACUUAUGAAAAUAGCACUGCCAAGUUUCAGAAAGUUCAAUAAGAUUUAGCCUUUGUCAUAAGUAGGCCGCAAACAAGUCUAUUUCGAGCAAGUUGGACUAGGCUCAGUUCAACUUAUGCAAAAAUACGAGGGAUCUCAAACUAAGCAAAGCUCAAGAUCGAUCUAUAAAAGGUGGCUCCUCGUUAGCUUGUAAUGAUCUCAAGUCGAUCUCCAGCCAGUUGCGAGCUAAAUAACGUAAUUUUCAAAUAAUUUAAGGCAAUGUUUCAAAAAAUGCCACAACGCAACAUAAGAAACAACUAUAGAAUAUUAUGCCAAUCAAAACAAUGAUAAAUACAAUGUUUUUCAAGGUUGUUUGACUUAUUCUCGCAACUGAUAACAAUAACUUAGUAGCAAGGGAUCCUGGAUGAAGUAGCAAGAGAAGUAAACGACGGUACCAAAAUAGUAGGAUAUUUAACACAUGGCUGAUAAUAGACCAUAUUGAAGCCCAAUUUUUUUCCAUUCUUAAUUAAGCUUCCAUGUUUUCUACUCCCUCCGUUCCUAAAUAUUUGUCUUUCUAGACAUUUCAAAUGACUACUACAUACGGAUGUAUGUAGACAUAUUUUAGAGUGUAGAUUCACUCAUUUUGCUCCGUAUGUAGUCACUUGUUGAAAUGCCUAGAAAGACAAGUAUUUAGGAACGGAGGGAGUAGUAGAUAAAAUGAAAAAUAGUACACAACAUAUAUGACACCAAUAAAUUAUCCUAUUUUCUUUAACUAUAUAUCAGGAUUAUUUAAUAUAAUUAUAUUAUAUCAAGUUAAAAUUGAGCAACUUAGUGUUUGCUCAAGAUGAGCUUGAUUCUCGAUCGAGCUACAUAAACUACUCAUACUUAGCUCAUUUCUUUUCGAGUCGACCUUAAGUCAAGCCAAAAGAUGACUCCAUCUCAAACGGCUCAUGAGCCUCGAACUUUCUUGCAGCCCUAGUAGUAGUGACGUUUCAAUUAUUCCUUUUAUUGUAGUGAUAUUUGUUGAAUUUACCCAACAAAAGAAAACAACUCUAAUUGAAACAUCAAACUAGUUCCGUUUGAUUCAUCAUAAAAUAUAUAUUUAUACUACGUACUCCCUCCAUCCUUGAAAAAGUGUGCUUUCAACUUUAUUGAAAAGUCAAACUUGUUUAUGUUUGACCGUAUUUAUUCAAUAAUACAUAAAUAUUUAUGCAAUAACAUUAUUAACAUUAGAUUUAUGAUAAAAUAUAUUUUCAUCGUAUACCUAUUUGGUUUCACAAACAUUGAUAUAUUUUUGCACGAACUCGAUUAAACUUUAAGAUAGUUUGACCUUCUAACAAAGUUGGAGGUACACUUUUUUAAGGACGGAAGGAGUAUAUAUGAUUCGUGUUUUAGAUCUUGAUAUAUUUUCUAUAAACUUGGCAAAACUUGAAGUUGUUUGAUUUAUGAUAAAGAUAAACCUAUAACUAAUAAUUGUGAGAAGAGAGGGAGUACGUGAUCAGGAGCAACGGCAUGCUUUCGAUGGAUCGAGGGAAUCUAACCUAGCUGGAGGUUGCUCUGCGACCACGCGAUGCUAUCAAAAAUAGUCUCGCAGCAAAGGGAUAUAUUUCUAUACAUGGACGCACUUCUGGGCGCAAACUAGAACUUAACGAUGGCCACCUCCCGUGCCCAUGUCGUCAAAAAAUUCUGCAACGCUGAGGAGGGCAUCUUAAGUUAUGUCCGCAGCCUCACGUCCUCAUACAACACGAGCAAUGAGUCAUCCGUGGUGUCCGCCUCCGUAAUCAUGUUCGUCCUCGUCGGCCUCUCUUUCAACCUCAACCUCUUCAGCCGCUUCUCCGGCAUCAGCGCCACCCUUGACCCCAAGGUCCGCCUCUUCCUUUCCUCCUCUUUCUCCCUCUUCCUCCCCGUCAUGUCCUACCUCUUCUCCGAGUCCAAGAACGCCGGCUCCGCGGCUCAGGACACCACCACCGGCGACCUCUCGCUACCUGCCGGUAUGAUCCUCAUCUGGAUGCUGCUGGUAGAGCUCCUCCGCAAGAAAGUGGAAGAGGUCCGCAUGCACGGCUACUCCUGCAGCAUCCAGCGUGCUGGCCGCGUGGUGUGGCUCGGCAGCCUCGUCUUCUUCAACAUCCAGAGAGUCGGCCGGAAGGCCGUCUUCGGCGUCCUUUGGGUGCUCUGCGCCACCAAAGUGGUGCAAAGGAUCGCCUUCACUGAGAUUGGCAAGCGAUCCUAUGCGUACGGCAAAAACACGCGCCUCAUCACCUCCUACAUGUCACAAAUAAUGCAGCAAGAUGUAUCAUCUCAGGUAUUGAUUCGCAUAGGCCAACCAGUCGACCCGAAAUCCUAAACUCAUACAGAAAUAUGCACAACGUAUGCAUUAAUUUCGACCACUCUUUCAUCGCGUUUUGUUUCAGCAGCAGGACCAGCAUGGUUCCCCGUCAACAGACGUCUACGUGGAGCACUGCAUGGUGGCUAGCGGAAACCAUGGUGGCGGAGGCGAGGCCAUGUUGAAGAGGUGCAAGUUGGUCAUUAUGGGUGAAGAAGACUUGGUUAUACAACCCAGCCCAGACGGCUACUAUCUGAAGAAUGUCUCCCCAGAUGACACCGUAGCCACCGUUGGAAAGAUCUGGCAGCAUGCCUGCUGCACCAACCUCGAUCAAGGCCCGCGGCUCAAGAGGUUGUGCCUCUCCUUCGCGCUUUUCAAGCUUCUCCGGCGGAGGUUCGAGCACCUUCCAUUAUCUGAUGCCGAGACUCGUGAGUGCCGUGGCCUACUCUUCAACGGCAUCUACAGCGAUAGGACAGAGGGCGCGGCGGAGGCGCUUUUUCAGAUGAUGAACGACGAGGUGAAAUUCCUCUGCGAGUAUUACCACUCUGUCAUCCCCGUAGUCCUCGCCAGCCCUUUCUUCUUCCUCGCCAAUUACUUCCUUCUCCCCGUGGUGGUGCUCGGCCUGUGCAUCCUGACCGUCAUCCUUUGCGGCUAUGGUGACGCAAGCUUUGCAUUCGCGCACAUCAGGACAGACAACUACACGUUCUCGUCUGACAUCGUCAGCAGCACCAUGUGUCUCCUUUUCCAGGCCCUGAUCUGGAGACCAGCCUUCUUCACCCUAAUGAACUUCUUCAUCACCUUCCUCCUCUUCGUCAUCUUCUUCUUCGAGGAGAUAUGGGAGUUCAUUGUCUUCCUUUUCUCAGACUGGUUCAUGGUGUCCGUGCUCUGCAACUUUGUGGCGAAGCCCCAAUGGCAGAGUAGCCCAACGUACAGUGGCGUUGUUUACAGCUUCCUAUGGGUACAGAGCAAGAUGAGCCAACCCACCAUUAGCUUCAAGCAGUUCUCUCUACUAAACCUCCGGUGGCCACUCGUCCUCAGCAUACCGUCCAUCUUCUCUCUACUCCUCCGAACAGCUCCCGUGCCAAACAAAGCCAAGCACUUCAUCGUUGAAUCCCUCGUGGCACACUGCUGUGAUGGAGCCCCUCUCAGUAAUGGCAAGUCAGCACUCGCCGACCGACCAGAUCUCUUGGCAGCGUGCAAGAGCAAGAGCAUCGUGGAGGUCAUCCUCACCUGGCACAUUGCGACUGCGCUGCUAGAGGCGUGCCCUCCCCAUCGCAACCAGAGCAAGGACUCACACACGGUGGCCACGAGUCUGUCCAGGUACUGCGCCUAUUUAGUGGCCUUCCACCCAGAUCUCCUCCCUGAAAACCCGGACAAUACGGAGCGUGUAUUUGAGGCCGCCAAGGCGGAACUCAAGCGCACGCUUGGCUGUGCUAGCUACUACCUCUCGUGCUGGUGCUGGAGGGUCGACCAGAUCAGAAAGGUGGCGGAGGCGACCACAAUGACAGAAUGGAAGGAGGGUGAGGUGGUGCUCAACGGCGCGAGGCUGGGGAAUUUGUUGAAGGAAGAAGCUCUAAGGGAUAGCGGCGUCCAGUGGGAGCAGACAUGGAAGCUGCUCGCCGACCUGUGGACGGAGCUCAUCGUUUACAUCGCACCAUCAAGCAAAGAGGAUCACGUGAUGGGGCACGAGAGCUUGCUGGUGCAGGGUGGGGAAUUCAUCACCAUGCUUUGGGCUUUGACCACCCAUACCGGCAUAACCCGCCCGGAAAAUUACUAGUACGGAUGUCUUUUUUGCAUGUGUAGUUUGGCGGCCGAUGGCUACAUAUGUUGCUUAGAGUUGGUUCUCGACUAUGGGCUAAUGAACCAGGAGAUUCAUUACUUAUAAAGUUUGCAAAUUUUGAAAUUUACAUAAACAUGGUAGCAUUUCAAUUUUGUUAAUGUUGCAUAUGUAUUGGUGUCGACAGUCACAACUGGAAGAUUUGGUCUCGGUAUAAUUUGUUGUCCAUUUUGCCAAGGAAAAUAGAAUGAAGUUUGGGCUUAAUUAUUACUUCCUCCGCUCCUAAAUAUUGGUCUUUCUGGAGAUUCCACUAUGGACUAUAUACGAAACAAAUUGUGUGAAUCUACACUCUAAAAUAUGUCUAUAUACAUACGGAGCAAAUUAAGCUAAUUCACUCCACACCAUCUUUGGUGUUCAUAUUUUAUGGAAAGCAUAAAAAAACUGGAAUUCAUUCAGAGAUUGGUGUUUUACAAAAUUUACGCUCAAAUCUUUCAUGGGUACAUGAAUACAUUCAUCUUCUCUUAAUGUUAAACAAAGAAACAUGUGAAUGAGGAUUUGGGGCUCUUGGUGCCACACACCCCUAUAUGAUACAGCAUUCAGGAGAUAACAGAAAAUUUUCAAAAUAUUCUGUAGUUUUAGGAUAUCAAACCUGGAUGACUAUUGUACGCCGUGUUUAGUUUCAUAAGGAAUGGGUGCCCGUGGUAAUCUCGAUAUAAUAUUUAAAAAAAUUCUUAUGUAUAUUAAAAACUGUUGGCACUGCCACUCACAGCACCUCUUCUUCCUUGGAACUCUCAAAGCUCUCUCAUCUUCUCACUUAGGCCCUGUUUGAUAGCAAAGUAGUAUAAAAACCAAAGUAUUGGGAACUACAAUAAUCUUGUCAGUAGUUACACAAUACCACGGUUUUGAUGUAACAGAGUAUUUUGGAGUAUUCGUGAUACAGAGGACCUGUUUGGUACCGUGAUGUUAAAUUAGCUGACUAGCUAUUAGCACUGCAAACAAGCAUGUUUUCUAGCUGUCAGCUGGCUAGCCAUUGCAUCCAACAAUAGAUUGGCCUAGGAACAGCGCUAGAGCAGCGCGUUUUUUACCUACCUAGUUGGCCGUAUCAUGCACAUGCAUAAGAACGCAAGAGAUCCAUGCAUCCAAGUAGCUGCGAUCCAUCACAACCCCCCGUGGAAACAUGCCAUGGCCUCUAGGUAGCAGCGGCGAGCCAAGAAGACGCCUCGUACAAAUUUGCCAUCGAGGGAGACAACACCAAAAACGACAAAGCAGUGGCAGCGGCGGCAUGGAAGCUAUGGAAUUGUUGCGAAUAGUGGAGAAGAUAACAAUGCGGCCCCUCGUUUGUUUCUGCUGCUCUGUUUUAAAAAAAGAGGUCCGGAGGGUUUUUUUAGUGCAGAGAAAAAUCCAUGCAUGGUUUAGUAAAUACUGCAGUAUCAAAGUUACAGUUUUUAGUGGCAACCAAACAGCUCAUUGUAAAUAAAACUUUGAUAAUAUCAAAAACUGUAGUAUUCUUAUAAUACUUCAAAAAUACUUUGCUAUCAAACAGGGCCUUAGUCUCAAGAACACACACUCUGUGAAUGACAGAACACAUUCGCGCGCGUGCACACGCGCGCAUAUACCAAGGAAGGAAGCCAACUAGCUUUGCCAAGAGGGUCUUCUCCUUGGUGGACACAAGUGCUACAUUUUUCCACAGCCCUCACGGCUUCUUUUCACAUUACUCAAAGCACUAUAUAUACAAAGGACUAGAGAGUUGCACGCACCCACUAAUGCCUAACACCACUAACGCACGUCCAUGACCUCCUAGAAUCACUGCAGGGCCAAGAUGACUAGUAUACUAAUCUUGACCGGCCACUACAAACAAACUUCGCCGUGGGUGUUGCAUGCAACUAACAAAUUCCUAUCUCCAUGAACGCCUACGUCCAGCACUAACCAACUAGGACUUGGACAAAUCACUUGGCUUAACCAGAACGAGCAGCCCGUCGCAUUCUCCAGCCACCGUCGCCUCUUGCCGCAUCUCAAGGCGUUGCCGUAUCACACGGCACCACUGACUCCAACUGAUUGCCUCCAAUCGACGGCAGUCUCGGGGACAACACCCACUGAAAUAAUUUGGCUCUGACAAACUCUGAGAAAUCCGAGUGAAAUUAACAUUCAAAGAAAUCCUAAGUUCUAAGACUCCCGACGAUAGCAAACAGUCGACGGCAGUCUCGGGGACUACAUCCAGUAGGUGCACUCAGCAGGCCCCAACUGGCCAAAGCAAACACCCAGUGGGUGUACUCCGUGAAAAAUCCACUAGCAGAAACACAAUCAUCCACUCGGCAAACAAAGGAAAACCAAAACCUGAAAAUUCUGACUGAAAAAUCUUACACACAUUGGUACUUGGUCGAAUAUUGGUCUUCAAGGCCUCACUGCCGUCACACGCCUCUUGCAAGUGCAUGUUCAUCACUUCAACUCUAAUCAUUGCUUCCUUGCUUGCCCCCACCUGGUCCUCUGGGACCCUCUGCAUAGUAAAAAAGGUGACUGGAGCAGACAAUGGAGCUAGCACUGGCCGAGGAGUUGGGGCAGCAACUGCUAGCUCGACGCCAUUCUGAGUUGUGACACUUGGAACCAUGGGCCCCGUGCCAACGUUGGCAUUCGGAGCCUUGCUCGAUCGGCCAUGAGGAACGUCUUGGACGACGCUUAUGGUAGCAGUCGGCGCCCGUUCACUGCGCUUGGGACUUGGAGGGGUCAGUCUUGUCAUCAUCCUCGACCUGGAUCACUUCUAAUGGUGUUGCAAGACAUGCAUCAAUGAUAAACGUUAGCCUACAAAUCACUCGGAUAUAAUCCAAGAACGAAUUGGUCAAUACCUCUAGAAGUUGCCAGAUCCGCAACAUCAACUUUAGCCCGGCCCUUCCAGGCCACAUUCCAAUUGGGCGAGGUCGUUGACAUCUUGCUUCUUGUGAGUUGUGUUGGAUUUAUUUCCCGAAGAGGAAGGGAGAUGCAGUAUAGUAGAGAUAAGUAUUUUCCUCGGUUAAGAAGUAAGGUUACCAAUCCAGUAGGAGAACUACCACUUCAAAAGAAAGACACAUCUGUGACAUUAUGGCCCGAACGAAAACUUUUUCUAUCAUGGUUAUGACACUUCUAUGAUGAUAAUUGUGACAAAAACACGUAUUAUCGUAGAUGUGGUGGGCUCCUACUUCUAUGACAAAAAAUUAUGACAUAAGAUGGGCUUUUCAUCCUGGGCAGGCCAGAAACGCACCUGCAUGACAUUCUUUGGGCCGUCCAUGACGUAAAAAAUCAUGGUAAAAGUGAGGACGAGGAAAAUUUCGGAGAGUUUCCGUCUACGGUGGGUGCUCGGGGAGUUCGGAGCGAAAAUCAAGGUGAUAUGCUCCCACUUUCCCCACUAGUCGUGAAGAAACCUCUCCCACACGCGCGCGAGUUUUCAAAUUGCGGGACUACCGCCGCAAGAUCAGACUGAUUGGUCACCCCUGGAUAAAUUUCCUACAAGACACUCUCGGUCCGCUGAACAUCUUCGAAAGGUCUUCGUCCACUCGGACAUACAAUCUUAUCCUCCGGCUAAAGUAAGCUUGAUGACUGCAAUGGGAUGAGCUCAACACUCCAUUACGAAUUAACUUGGCCCUUUUCCAGGUUCCAAGGCGUGAGCCUCAGAAACUUGGACUCGGAGAUGGCCUAUGUUGGCGUUCCCUUGGGAUAAUGAGUAGCAUCUCUCUGGAGAAUCAGCCCACGCUCCGACAUCAUCACUCGAGUUACAUGGCACGUCCGCACCCGGGCCUAUAGUCUAUCUCUUCCAAGAGACAUAUGAGUGACACCAAGUUUUACCCAGCAGUCAAUAUAGCCCGACCAGUUGGGAAACUUCUAGUCCAGUAUCCAUUGAGGUUUCGCUCACGUCACGUUUUGUAACACUUGGUGAUGGAUUCUGCGUGCUUCUGCAGCACUCGAACCGAAUCAAGGGUUCAGCCCAUUCGUCCCACGAGACCUCAUCCGAUUCGGGGGCUAAUGAUGGUGUCACCUACUCAGGGUAGGGUCAAGGACCUGACAUCCUGGACCCAUCUACGACCCCAUACCAUCACUGGAAGGUUCCUGAACCGUAGGUGCAUUCGGAGGCCCACCUCUGAAUACUCAUUCGGAUGCAAUCCAUCCACUCGGAUGGAGGCAGCUCACUCGGACGCUUCGCCACUACUCGGCCAUGCUCGCCAGCACACGGACAUGAGCGGCGAAUGAGUCGUGCGGGGCCUGGAACGUCCGAGGAGCACAACACCAGACUUCAAGUGUAGUAAUAGCAUCAGUUACCUGUAACACCUAUAAUCAAUCCCCUGCAUCAUCUCCCUUUUAACGUACCCAUAAUGAGGGGCGGUGCACCCUAUAUAAGCCACCCCCGAGCACUAAGACAAGGGUUCGCAACCCUCUUAUAAUCCAGACACCAGAGAAAGAUAGCCCCAGGGUUCAAGAAGUAGGGCUUUUACCUCUCCGCGAGGGGCCUGAACUCAUAAAAUCCGAGCGUCACACCUAUGCCGAAAUUAGAUUGAGCCAUUAUUCGCAGCCUACUAUUCACUGUCAGGUUUGUUGCAUCAACAUCCCCUUUAACGAAAACCCGACAAAUAUGUGACCCUUGGCAUUCUUAUUAACAAAUGGAAAGGAGAAAAUGUGUGCCGAGUCUCCGUUAGCCAAAACUCGGCAAAGAUUGGAUGCCGUCACGGCUUCGUCGCCUACUCUACAGCAGGGCCCACCUGUAAGACUUUGAUGGGGUUUUCUGUCGGGAACUCGGCGAACUUGAGUUUCUGCUGAGUUGUUUUUGUUCGCCUAGUCGUUUUUUGGUGGAAGUAGGCAAAGUCACAAGUCCACCGAGUUGCUUGUCACAGCCGAGUCUAAUACUGAAUCAAACUCAACAGCCACCAAAUUUGCUGAGUUCGCGAUAAAAUGAACUCCGCAACGUUCUGGAGCUCGGCACAAAACCAGAUUCUAGUAGUGUCAGUAGUUUUUUUUAAUUUCUUAUACUUUCUUUAAGAUCGACUAUAAAUAAUAUGGUAACAUAUACUCGUUUCGUUCCUAAAUAUAAGUCUUUUUUACAGAUUUCAAUAUGGACUACAUACGGAGCAAAAUGAGUGAAUCUACACUCUAAACUACGUCUAUAUACAUCUGUAUGUAGUUCAUAUUAAAAUCUCUAAAAAAGAGUUAUAUUUAAGAACGGACGGAGUAGAUAACUAGGGGCUCGUUUCUACUCCCUCCGUUCUAAAAUAGAUGACUUAACUUUGUAUUAACUUUAGUACAAAGUUGGGUUAUCUAUUUUGAAACGGAGGGAGUACGAGGAGAGCGAGGUGGUGGCAUGGAUGGAGAAACCGGCCGCACAGGCUCAAGAGCUCUCGUUCGCUCGACUCACCUUUUAUUUUCUGGCAAGGUGAUCAUGGGAAUCCCAGGCAAAGACCAUACUCUCCUUUCUUUUGCUUAGUUUUCCUUUAUUCACAUGCAGACACGUGGGAGGUAGGAGUAUGUCAUCUUUCUCUUUGCGUGUGCUGCAUGCAUGCAUGCAUCCGAAAGGCCGGAAGCUCAUGCAUUCUCGAUCGAUCGAAACGCUCUUUGGCAUCGUGUUGCUUUGCGUGCCCCAUGUAAUCCACAUCUGAUGCGCGCCUUCGCUUUUCGCUUUGGCUGUCCUGCACUAUAUACUAUCGUGUUACUUUGCGUGCCCAAUGUUAUCCACAUCUGAUGCGCGCCUCCGCUUUUCGCUUUGACUGUCCUGCAUUAUAUACUCUUCUAUCUUCUGCAAGAAACGCACAUAAUAAAACUUCCUUAAAGAGCUAAGGCAUCUCAGCUGACAGCUGCCUCUGCUUUUGCACAUUUUCUUUGGUGAACUAUGUACAUACUUCAUGCAUGACUAUGGCAUGUACAACGCUAUCCUUUAAAAUGGACAAACUAUCCGUCCGUGGACUGUGCCCCGACUAGUCCUUGGACACGAUAUGGGGGCCCACCAUCCAACCAUAUACUGUAAAUGUUCAUCUCUAUUAGUACUUUAAAAAACUAUGAUUAGUAGCAUUUUGUUUGAAGGAAGGCUACUAAUUAUGAUGCUUCCGUAGCUUCCAUUAAAAUUAGUCACCAAAUGAAGCAUUAAGACGCAUUUAGCUACUGCCAAAUAAAGCUGCUUCCGCCAACUGAAAUUUACAUAAGGCUGAGGAUGCUACUAAAGCAUUAGCAUGCUUUCUGCCAAAUGCUACCAAAGCGUUAGCAGCUACAGUACUAAGCGUGGCGGAAGGCCAAAUACUACCAAGCAUUAGCACGCUUCCACUAAAAGAAGUUGACCAUUACCAUGCUUCCGCCAAAUGAAGUUGAAGCAUUUGAAAGAAAAAAGUGAAACAAAUAAAAAGGGUAGUUGCUUCCGUCUAAGUUCAAACAUGCUAUCGGCAAAACUCAAGCAUGCUAAUCACCGACAAACCCAAAUAUCAGCGAAACUGCGGCCUGCUGCCAUCCGGAUGUACAGUAUAUAUAUUGGUGGCUUUUAAUUGAUCAGAUCCGGACAUACAGUAGACACUAGUNNNNNNNNNNNNNNNNNNNNNNNNNNNNNNNNNNNNNNNNNNNNNNNNNNNNNNNNNNNNNNNNNNNNNNNNNNNNNNNNNNNNNNNNNNNNNNNNNNNNNNNNNNNNNNNNNNNNNNNNNNNNNNNNNNNNNNNNNNNNNNNNNNNNNNNNNNNNNNNNNNNNNNNNNNNNNNNNNNNNNNNNNNNNNNNNNNNNNNNNNNNNNNNNNNNNNNNNNNNNNNNNNNNNNNNNNNNNNNNNNNNNNNNNNNNNNNNNNNNNNNNNNNNNNNNNNNNNNNNNNNNNNNNNNNNNNNNNNNNNNNNNNNNNNNNNNNNNNNNNNNNNNNNNNNNNNNNNNNNNNNNNNNNNNNNNNNNNNNNNNNNNNNNNNNNNNNNNNNNNNNNNNNNNNNNNNNNUCCGGGGGCCGGGAGUCCUUUAGUAUCGGUUGGUAACACCAACCGGUACUAAAAUGUUUGGGGGGUUUUUGGUUUUAUGAUUUCUUUUUCAUUUAAUUUUGUGUUUUCCAUUUUAAUUCUUUUUGGUUUGCUGGUAUUUUACGGUACUACACAUUGUACACGUUAUGCAUAUAUAUAUAUAUAUAUAUAUAUAUAUAAAUAGAAUUUCUAGUAGAACCAAUCAUAUAUAUAUCAUCAAUGUCUCACAAAUCACCAUAUUAAUUCACACAUACACACAUAUAUAGCUAUAUACAAUUUCUCCUACAUAUGCAUGUUUCCUUCGGAGCCAGUGGCAUUAGCCUAAUUGGUGCCUUCGAAGCACGAUGACAAUUGGAAGUGGUUCAUGACCUGGUUGAUGGGGGCGGUAGCGUGUAAUAGUAUUCUCCCUUCGGAUUUAUGACCUGGUCGAGCAAAAAUCCCGCUAUUUCCUCUUGAAGUGCUUCUACGCGCUCCAUUUCUAGGAGCUUGUCCCGCACCUCUUUGAACUGUUAAGAAGGAGAUCAAUAUGCAUGUAUAUUAGUUGUGUGACUAGAUAUCGAUAAUGGUGUAAAAAUUGUGAAUAGUAUUCUGACAAGCGUACCCAUUCCUGUCUUUGAGAUCUGCUCCUUUCGGACGCCAUCAUGCGAAUGUUCUUGCAAACGCAGAACACACACAGAUCAGUCCCCUGCGCCUGCUUCAGGGCCUUUAUUACGAGAAUGGAAUUUAAUUUGAUCAGAUAAUAAUUAAUCAAGCAUGAUAAUUAAAGAGAUGGCAACUAGCUAGCUAGCUAGUACCCCCUCUGUAAACUAAUAUAAGAGCGUUUAGAUCACUAUUUUAGUAUUCUAAACACUCUUAUAUUAGUUUACGGAGGGAGUACUACUUAAUUAUUUACCUUGGGUCGAAACCAUUUCAGCUGUCGUUUCCAUUCGCCUUCCGUGACGCUGAUGAACCUUGCCCAAGCCCUGCCCGUCGACAAAGAAAAUGAAUAAAGGGGUUAUUAAAUAGUUCAUAUCAUGAAAUGACGAACUAAAUAGGCCGAGAUAUAUAGUUAAUAAUGAUUGAAAUUACCUGUUGACUAUCCCAAACAAGAUGUUAUAGUCAAUAUUUGCUUUGAGUAGCGAGUCCAGUAUUUGAACAGUUCCGGCGUCAACUUUAAUGAUACACAAGAUCCAGUGAAAUCUGCAUGCACACACGUUUGCACGUCUUAAUUAAGCGGGCAUAUAUAAGCAAAAACAUGUAGCUAGCUAGUAGGCAAAAACAGAGAAUUUGUAAUACAAGAAAGUGUGACUCACUGGAAGUUGUAAGGAAGUAGUAUAUCUUCAUUGUAUUUGAGGCGCUUCAAGAACUCUAGCAUGCUGUCCUCUACCUGCUUUUCAUGAUGCUUGUUUAUUUUCCGUGUGUAUUCAUUAACAGUGUUUGGGUCAAUGAACCCAAUGCCAUAGCGUCCACCUUUUUUCAUUUCAUACAUCUUCAUCCUGCAUAAUACCACAGAAAAGAAUAUAGUGAGGAUAAUUACAGGUAAUGAUUGAUCAAAAGGAUCACUACAGCUAGCUUGAGACUUAAAUUACAGAAAGAAAUCACCUACAGAUAAUAGCAACUGACGAUAGAUUUGUCGAGUGUGUCUUGAUUGUAUAACUGAAAUAGUUCAGAAUACUCAACGGUCACAGGUUUCUCAUGGUAGUAAUGAUCCUUCUUGACUUGCACCAUGAGGGACUCUCGAUCGGAUCUCUUGGUAAUGUCCAUGUACCAUUCAUGUAAUUCAUACAUUCUCGUUGGGAGCUUCUUGACCCCUUCUGGCUUGACCAAAGGUUGGCCCCGGGCAUAUUUCCGUUUUAUUUCCUCCUCUUUAAGCACAGGCAUGUCCUCGAUCUCGAGGAGUUGUCCAACAGUGAUUUUGAGAGUUUCAGCCUGCAUUAUAUGCUCCUGGGUUAUUACCACAUCGCCCACCUCAGGAACGUAAACUGUUUGGCCACAAUAAUAUUGGACGCGCAUACUGUCACGUGUUGUUGGCGGCACAACAAGCGGGAGGAUCGAUUGCGCCGCCUGUUCUCCCAGCUGGGCAACGGUUUUCCCGCAUUUUUUGACAGCUGCUUGUUGUUUGCUCGAGCUCGAGCUCGCCUCCUUCUGUAGACGUUGUCGAUGUAACUUCCUGAUGUGGCGCUCAUAGUCUGUGUCAACAGGCUUAGGAGCUGGUGGUUGAGCCAUAUGAAUGAAGUGGUCAACUACUUCCACAGGCACUUUCUCCCUUGGCGUCGGUGGCAGUUUCGGUCCAAAAUGGGCGUCGACUUCUGCCCGCACUAUGGAAUUGGUUUGCUCCUCGGUCCUGUCGUAAGCCCUCACAGGAAGAGGAGUAGUGAGGUUUGGACCAUAUUUAUAUCGCUUGCCUCCGCCUGUACUUCCUGUACUAUGACCUCGACUCGUAUCGCUACGCACCAUAGCUGCGGGGUGUCUCUUCUGCGAUUGCUGAGGCGGCGGAGAUGGCUGACGGGGCUGAGUUGGACGAGGAGGAGUGGCCUGAAGCUGUGCCGGACUUGCAGCGACCUGAGGUUGUGCCGAACUUGGAGGAGGAGUGGACGUCUGACGCUGUGUCGGACUUGGAGGAGGAGUGGCCUGACACUUUGCCGGACUUGGAGGAGGAGGAGUGGCCUCACGCGUUGGUGGACUUGGAGGAGCGGGAGUCUGCUGACUCGGUGGCGGACUUCGACGAGGAGUCGGUGUUGGAAAUAUGCCCUAGAGGCAAUAAUAAAUUGGUUAUUAUUAUAUUUCCUUGUUCAUGAUAAUCGUUUAUUAUCCAUGCUAUAAUUGUAUUGAUAGGAAACUCAAAUACAUGUGUGGAUACAUAGACAACACCAUGUCCCUAGUAAGCCUCUAGUUGACUAGCUCGUUGAUCAAUAGAUGGUUACGGUUUCCUAACUAUGGACAUUGGAUGUCGUUGAUAACGGGAUCACAUCAUUAGGAGAAUGAUGUGAUGGACAAGACCCAAUCCUAAGCAUAGCACUAGAUCGUGUAGUUCGUAUGCUAAAGCUUUUCUAAUGUCAAGUAUCAUUUCCUUAGACCAUGAGAUUGUGCAACUCCCGGAUACCGUAGGAAUGCUUUGGGUGUAUCAAACGUCACAACGUAACUGGGUGACUAUAAAGGUGCAUUACAGGUAUCUCCGAAAGUGUCUGUUGGGUUGGCACGAAUCGAGACUGGGAUUUGUCACUCCGUGUAAACGGAGAGGUAUCUCUGGGCCCACUCGGUAGGACAUCAUCAUAUGCGCAAUGUGACCAAGGAGUUGAUCACGGGAUGAUGUGUUAUGGAAUGAGUAAAGAGACUUGCCGGUAACGAGAUUGAACUAGGUAUUGGAUACCGACGAUCGAAUCUCGGGCAAGUAACAUACCGAUAGACAAAGGGAAUUGUAUACGGGAUUGAUGAAGUCCUUGACAUCGUGGUUCAUCCGAUGAGAUCAUCGUGGAACAUGUGGGAGCCAACAUGGGUAUCCAGAUCCCGCUGUUGGUUAUUGACUGGAGAACGUCUCGGUCAUGUCUGCAUGUCUCCCGAACCCGUAGGGUCUACACACUUAAGGUUCGAUGACGCUAGGGUUAUAAAGGAAGCUUGUAUGUGGUUACCGAAUGUUGUUCGGAGUCCCGAAUGAGAUCCCGGACGUCACGAGGAGUUCCGGAAUGGUCCGGAGGUAAAGAAUUAUAUAUAGGAAGUGCUGUUUCGGCCAUCCGGACAAGUUUCAGGGUUAUCGGUAUUGUACCGGGACCACCGGAGGGGUCCCGGGGGCCCACCGGGUGGGGCCACCUGUCCCGUGGGGCCACAUGGGCUGUAAGGGGUGCGUCUUGGCCUAUAUGGGCCAAGGGCACCAGCCCCCAAAGCCCAUGCGCCUAGGGUUCCACAUAAGGGAAGAGUCCCAAUGGUGGAAGGCACCUCUAGGUGCCUUGGGGGGGAGGGAAACCUCCCCUUGGCUGCUGCACCUAGGAGAUUGGAUCUCCUAGGCUGGCGCACCCCCCCCCCCUUGGGAUCCCUAUAUAUAGUGAGGGUAGGAGGACCUCUUGAGACAACCCCUUAUGCCUUUGGUGCAGCCCCUCCCCCUCUCCCAAGUUCUUCUCCUCUUCUGUGGUGCUUGGCGAAGCCCUGCAGGAUUGCCAUGCUCCUCCAUCACCACCACGCUGUUGUGCUGCUGUUGGAUGGAGUCUUCCUCAACCUCUCCCUCUCUCCUUGCUGGAUCAAGGCAUGGGAGACGUCACCGGGCUGUACGUGUGUUGAACGCGGAGGUGCCGUGCGUUCGGCACUUGAUCAUCGGUGAUUUGAAUCACGACGAGUACGGCUCCAUCAACCCCGUUCACUUGAACGCUUCCGCUUAGCGAUCUACAAGGGUAUGUAGAUGCACUCUCCUUCCCCUCGUUGCUAGUAUCUCCAUAGAUAGAUCUUGGUGACACGUAGGAAAAUUUUGAAUUUCUGCUACGUUCCCCAACAGUGGCAUCAUGAGCUAGGUCUAUUGCGUAGAUUCUAUGCACGAGUAGAACACAAAGUAGUUGUGGGCGUUGAUUUUGUUCAAUAUGCUUACCGUUACUAGUCUUAUCUUGAUUCGGCGGCAUCGUGGGAUGAAGCGGCCCGGACCAACCUUACACGUACUCUUACGUGAGACCGGUUCCACCGACAAACAUGCACUAGUUGCAUAAGGUGGCUGGCGGGUGUCUGUCUCUCCCGCUUUAGUCGGAUCGGAUUCGAUGAAAAGGGUCCUUAUGAAGGGUAAAUAGCAAUUGGCAUAUCACGUUGUGGUCUUUGCGUAGGUAAGAAACGUUCUUGCUAGAAACCCAUAGCAGCCACGUAAAACAUGCAAACAACAAUUAGAGGACGUCUAACUUGUUUUUGCAGGGUAUGCUAUGUGAUGUGAUAUGGCCAAAAGGAUGUGAUGAAUGAUAUAUGUGAUGUAUGAGAUUGAUCAUGUUCUUGUAAUAGAUGAUCAUGGAGCCCCAAGAUGGAGAUCAAAGGAGCUAUAUGAUAUUGGCCAUAUCAUGUCACUAUUAUUUGAUUGCAUAUGAUGUUUAUCAUAUUUAUACAUCUUAUUUGCUUAGAACGACGGUAGUAAAUAAGAUGAUCCCUUACAACAAUUUCAAGAAGUGUUCUCCCCUAACUGUGCACCGUUGCUACAGUUCGUCGUUUCGAAGCACCACGUGUUAAUCGGGUGUGAUAUAUCCUUACGUUCACAUACAACGGGUGUAAGACAGUUUUACACAUACAAAAACACUUAGGGUUACCUUGACGAGCCUAGCAUGUAGAGACAUGGCCUCGGAACACAGAAGACCGAAAGGUCGAGCAUGAGUCGUAUAGAAGAUACGAUCAACAUGAUGAUGUUCACCGACGUUGACUAGUCCGUCUCACGCACAGAUCGGACACGGCCUAGUUGACUCAGAUCAUGUAAUCACUUAGAUGACUAGAGGGAUGUCUAUCUAAGUGGGAGUUCAUAAGAUGAACUUAAUUAUUCUGAACAUAGUCAAAAGGAUUUUGCAAAUUAUGUUGUAGCUCACGCUAUAGUUCUACUGUUUAGAUAUGUUCCUAGAGAAAAAUUAGUUGAAAGUUGAUAGUAGCAAUUAUGCGGACUAGGUCCGUAGACUGAGGAUUGUCCUCAUUGCUUCUUAGAAGGCUUAUGUCCUUAAUGCACCGCUCAGUGUGCUAAACCUUGAACAUUGUGUGUGGAUGUUGCGAACAUCUGACAUACACGUUUUGAUAACUACAUGAUAGUUCAGUUAAAUGGUUUAGAGUUGAGGCACCAAAGACGUUUUUUGAAACGUCACGAAACAUAUGAGAUGUUUUGAGGGCUGAAAUUGGAAUUACAGGCUCGUGCCCACGUCAAGAGGUAUAAGACCUCCGACGAUUUUCUUAACCUGCAAACUAAGGAGAAAAGCUCAAUUGUUGAGCUUGUGCUCAGAUUGUCUGAGUACAACAAUCGCUUGAAUCAAGUGGGAAUUGAUCUUCCAGAUGAGAUAGUGAUGUUUCUCCGAAGUCAUUACCACCAAGCUGCUAGAGCUUCGUGAUGAACUAUAAUAUAUCAGGGACAUAUAUGAUGAUCCUUGAGAUGUUCGUGAUGUUUGACACCACAAAAGUAGAAAUCAAGAAGGAGCAUCAAUUGUUGAUGGUUGGUGAAACCACUAGUUUCAAGAAGGGCAAGGGCACGAAGGGAUACUUCAUAAAACGGCAAUUCAGCUGCUGCUCUAGUGAAGAAACCCAAGGUUGAACCCAAACCUGAGACUAAGUGCUUCUGUAAUAAAGGGAACAACCACUGGAGCAGAAUUACCCUAGAUACUUGGUAGAUUAGAAGGCUGGCAAGGUCGAUAGAAGUAUAUUGGAUAUACAUUAUGUUAAUGUGUAUUUUACUAGUACUCCUAGUAGCACCAGGGUAUUAGAUACGGGUUCGGUUGCUAAGUGUUAGUAACUCGAAAUAAAAGCUACGGAAUAAACGGGGACUAGCUAAAGGUGAGCUGACGAUAUGUGUUUCCAAUGUUGAUAUGAUCAAGCAUCGCACGCUCCCUCUACCAUCGAGAUUGGUGUUUGCAUUGAGCAUAGACAUGAUUGGAUUAUGUCUGUCGCAAUACGGUUAUUCAUUUAAGGAGAAUAAUGGUUACUCUGUUUAUUUGAAUAAUACCUUCAAUGGUCUUACACCUAAAAUGAAUAGUUUAUUGAAUCUCGAUCGUAGUGAUACACAUGUUCAUGCCAAAAGAUAGUAAUGAUAGUACCACCUACUUGUCGCACUGCCACUUAAGUCAUAUCGGUAUAAAACGCAUGAAGAAGCUCCUUGUUGAUGGAUCUUUGGGCUCACUCGUUUUGAAAAGUUUGAGACAUGCGAACCAUGUCUAUUGGUGUAUAUGCAUGAAGAAACUCCAUGCAAAUGGACCGUUUGGACUCACUUGAUUUUAAAUCACUUGAGACAUGCAAAUCAUACCACAUGGGCAAGAUGACUGAAAGCCUCGUUUUCAGUAAAAUGGAACUAGAAAGCAACUUGCUGGAAGUAAUACAUUUUGAUGUGUGCGGUCCAAUGAGUGCUGAGGCAUGUAGUGGAUAUCGUUAUGUUCUUACUUCACAGAUGAUUUGAGUAGAUGUUGAAUAUAUUUACUUGAUGAAUCACGAGUCUGAAUUAUUGAAAGGUUCAAGUAAUUUCAGGGUGAAGUUGAAAGAUCGUCGUGACAAGAGGAUAAAAUAUCUAUGAUAUGAUCAUAGAGAUGAAUAUCUGAAUUACGAGUUUGGCACAGAAUUAAGACAUUGUGGAAAUUGUUUCACAACUGAUACAGCCUGGAACACCAUAGUGUGAUGGUGUGUCCGAACAUCAUAACCGCACCCUAUUGGAUAUGAUGCAUACCAUGAUGUCUCUUAUCGAAUUACCACAAUAGUUUAUGGGUUAGGCAUUAGAGAUAACCACAUUCACUUUAAAUAGGGCACCACGUAAUUCCGAUGAUAUGACACCGUAUGAACUAUGGUUUAGAGAAACCUAAGCUGUCAUUUCUUAAAAGUUUGGGGCUGCGACGCUUAUGUGAAAAAGUUUCAGGCUGAUAAGCUCGAACCCAAAGCGGAUAAAUGCAUCUUCAUAGGACACCCAAAACAGUUGGGUAUACCUCCUGUCUCAGAUUCGAAAGCAAUAAGGGAUUGUUUCUAGAAUCGGGUCCUUUCUCGAGGAAAAGUUUCUCUCGAAAGAAUUGAGUGGGAGGAUGGUGGAGACUUGAUGAGGUUGUUGAACCGUCACUUAAACUAGUGUAUAGCAGGGCACAAAGAGUUGUUCCUGUGGCACCUACACCAAUUGAAGUGGAAGCUUAUGAUAUUGAUCAUGAGACUUCGGAUCAAGUCACUCCCAAACCUCGUGGGAUGACAAGGAUGCGUACUACUUCGGAGUGGUACGUAAUCCUGUCUUGGAAGUCAUGUUGCUAGACAACAAUGAACCUACGAGCUAUGGAGAAGAGAUGGUGGGCCUGGAUUCCGAUAAAUGGCUUGAGGCCAUAUAAUCCGAGAGAGGAUCCAUGUAUGAAAACAAAGUGUAGACUUUGGAAGAACUACUUGAUGGUCGUAAGGCUGUUGAGUGUAGAUGGAUUUUAAAAGGAAGACGGACAAUGAUGGUAAAUGUCACCAUUAAGAAAGCUCGACUUGUCGUUAAGAUGUUUUCUGACAAGUUCAAGGAGUUGACUACGAUGAGACUUUCUCACUCGUAGCGAUGCUAAGAGUCUGUUGGAAUUAUAUUAGCGAUUACUGCAUUAUUUAUGAAAUCUUGCAGAUAGGAUGUCAAAACAUUGUUUCCUCGACGAUUUUCUUGAGGAAAGGUUGUAUGUGAUACAACCGGAAGGUUUUGUCAAUCCUGAAAGAUGCUAAUAAGUAUGCAAAGCUCCAGCAAUCCUUCUGAGGACUGGAGUAAGCAUCUCGGAGUUGGAAUGUGCGCUUUGAUGAGAUGAUCAAAGAUUUUGGGUUUAUACAAAGUUUAUGAGAAACUUGUAUUUCCAAAGAAGUGAGUGGAAGCACUAUAGAAUUUCUGAUAAAUAUAUGUUGUUGACAUAUUGUUGAUCAGAAAUGACGUAGAAUUUCUAGAAAGCAUAUAGGGUUAUUUGGAAAGUGUUUUCAAUGGAGAGCCUGGAUUAAGCUACUUGAACAUUGAGCAUCAAGAUUUAUAAGGAUAGAUCAAAACGCUUAAUGGUACUUUCAAAUGAGCACAUACCUUUACAUGAUCUUGAAGGUGUUCAAGAUGGAUCAGUCAAAGAAGGAGUUCUUGCCUGAGUUGUAAGGUAUGAAGUUAAGACUGAAAGCUCAACCAUGGCAGAAUAGAGAGAAAGGACGAAAGUCGUCCCCUAUGCUUAAGACGUAGGCUCUACAGUAUGCUAUGCUGUGUACCGCACCUGAAGUGUGCCUUGCCAUGAGUCAGUCAAGGGGUACAAGAGUGAUCCAAGAAUGGAUCACAGGACAGCGGUCAAAGUUAUCCUUAGUAACUAGUGGACUAAGGAAUUUUCCCGAUUAUGGAGGUGGUAAAAGAGUUCGUCGUAAAGGGUUACGUCGAUGCAAGCUUAACACCUAUCCGGAUAGCUCUGAGUAGAGAUACCGGAUGCAUAUAAUGGAGCAACAAUUUAGAAUAGCUCCAAGUAGAACAGUUAUUUGGAAUAGCUCCAAAUAGAGCGUGGUAGCUACAUCUAGGAGAUGACAUAGAGAUUUGUAAAGCACACACGGAUCUGAAAGGUUCGGACCUGUUGACUAAAACCUCUCUCACAAGCAACAUGAUCAAACCUAAAACUCAUUGAGUGUUAAUCACAUAGUGAUGUGAACUAGACUACUGACUCUAGUAAACUCUUGGGUGUUGGUCACAUGGCGAUGUGACCUGUGAGUGUUAAUCACAUGGCGAUGUGAACUAGAUUAUUGACUCUAGUGCAAGUGGGAGACUGUUGGAAAUAUGCCCUAGUGGCAAUAAUAAAUUGGUUAUUAUUAUAUUUCCUUGUUCAUGAUAAUCGUUUAUUAUCCAUGCUAUAAUUGUAUUGAUAGGAAACUCAGAUACAUGUGUGGAUACAUAGACAACACCAUGUCCCUAGUAAGCCUCUAGUUGACUAGCUCGUUGAUCAAUAGAUGGUUACGGUUUCCUAACCAUGGACAUUGGAUGUCGUUGAUAAUGGGAUCACAUCAUUAGGAGAAUGAUGUGAUGGACAAGACCCAAUCCUAAGCAUAGCACUAGAUCGUGUAGUUCGUAUGCUAAAGCUUUUCUAAUGUCAAGUAUCAUUUCCUUAGACCAUGAGAUUGUGCAACUCCCGGAUACCGUAGGAAUGCUUUGGGUGUAUCAAACGUCACAACGUAACUGGGUGACUAUAAAGGUGCAUUACAGGUAUCUCCGAAAUUGUCUGUUGGGUUAGCACGAAUCGAGACUGGGAUUUGUCACUCCGUGUAAACGGAGAGGUAUCUCUGGGCCCACUCGGUAGGACAUCAUCAUAUGCGCAAUGUGACCAAGGAGUUGAUCACGGGAUGAUGUGUUACAGAACGAGUAAAGAGACUUGCCGGUAACGAGAUUGAACUAGGUAUUGGAUACCGACGAUCGAAUCUCGGGCAAGUAACAUACCGAUAGACAAAGGGAAUUGUAUACGGGAUUGAUGAAGUCCUUGACAUCGUGGUUCAUCCGAUGAGAUCAUCGUGGAACAUGUGGGAGCCAACAUGGGUAUCCAGAUCCCACUGUUGGUUAUUGACUGGAGAACGUCUCGGUCAUGUCUGCAUGUCUCCCGAACCCGUAGGGUCUACACACUUAAGGUUCGAUGACGCUAGGGUUAUAAAGGAAGCUUGUAUGUGGUUACCGAAUGUUGUUCGGAGUCCCGGAUGAGAUCCCGGACGUCACGAGGAGUUCCGGAAUGGUCCGAAGGUAAAGAAUUAUAUAUAGGAAGUGCUGUUUCGGCCAUCGGGACAAGUUUCGGGGUUAUCGGUAUUGUACCGAGACCACCGGAGGGGUCCCGGGGGCCCACCGGGUGGGGCCACCUGUCCCGGGGGGCCACAUGGGCUGUAAGGGGUGUGCCUUGGCCUAGAUGGGCCAAGGGCACCAGCCCCAAAAUCCCAUGCGCCUAGGGUUCCACAUAAGGGAAGAGUCCCAAUGGUGGAAGGCACCUCUAGGUGCCUUGGGGGGGAGGGAAACCUCCCCUUGGCUGCCGCACCUAGGAGAUUGGAUCUCCUAGGCUGGCGCACCCCCCCUUGGGAUCCCUAUAUAUAGUGAGGGUAGGAGGGCCUCUUGAGACAACCCCUUAUGCCUUUGGUGCAGCCCCUCCCUCUCUCCCAAGUUCUUCUCCUCUUCUGUGGUGCUUGGCGAAGCCCUGCAGGAUUGCCAUGCUCCUCCAUCACCACCACGCCGUUGUGCUGCUGCUGGAUGGAGUCUUCCUCAACCUCUCCCUCUCUCCUUGCUGGGUCAAGGCGUGGGAGACGUCACCGGGCUGUACGUGUGUUGAACGCGGAGGUGCCGUGCGUUCGGCACUUGAUCAUCGGUGAUUUGAAUCACGAUGAGUACGACUCCAUCAACCCCGUUCACUUGAACGCUUCCGCUUAGCGAUCUACAAGGGUAUGUAGAUGCACUCUCCUUCCCCUCGUUGCUAGUCUCUCCAUAGAUAGAUCUUGGUGACACGUAGGAAAAUUUUGAAUUUCUGCUACGUUCCCCAACAGUCGGGUGACGCGGUGUCGGUGGCCUUCGAAAGAUGAUGCAAUCUUUUCUCCAUAGGAUGAUACGAUGUUUGGCAUCUCCGAGUGUGUGCUCCUCAUUGUUGGGGAACGUAGCAGAAAUUCAAAAUUUUCCUACGUGUCACCAAGAUCUAUCUAUGGAGAAACCAGCAACGAGGGGAAGGAGAGUGCAUCUACAUACCCUUGUAGAUUGCUAUGCGGAAGCGUUCAAGAGAACGGGGUUGAAGGAGUCGUACUCGUCGUGAUCCAAAUCACCGGAGAUCCUAGUGUCGAACGGACGGCACCUCCGUGUUCAACACACGUACAGCCCGGUGACGUCUCCCAUGCCUUGAUCCAGCAAGGAGAGAGGGAGAGGUUGAGGAAGACUCCAUCCAGCAGCAGCACGACGGCAUGGUGGUGGUGGAGGAGCGUGGUACUCCAGCCGGGCUUCGCCAAGCACCGCAAGAGACGAGGAGGGAGAGGGGUAGGGCUGCGCCAAGAAGGAGAGAAACUCGUGUGUGUUGGGCAGCCCAAACCUCAAGUAUAUAUAGGGGAAGGGGAGGGGCUGCGCCCCCACCUAGGGUUCCCUCCCUAGGGGUGGCGGCAGCCCCUAGAUCCCAUCUAGGUGGCGGCCACAAGGGGGAGAGGGGGAGGCGCACCUGGGGUGGGCCUUAGGGCCCAUCUGCCCUAGGGUUUGCCCCCCUUCCCUCUUGGAGGCGCCUUGGGCCCUUGUGGGGGGGGGGGCGCACCAGCCCACCUGGGGCUGGUCCCCUCCCACACUUGGCCCAUGCAGCCCUCCGGGGCUUGUGGCCCCACUUGGUGGACCCCCGGGACCCUCCCGGUGGUCCCGGUACGUUACCGAUAAACCCCGAAACCUUUCUGGCGACCAAAACAGGACUUCCCAUAUAUAAAUCUUUACCUCCGGACCAUUCCGGAACUCCUCGUGACGUCCGGGAUCUCAUCCGGGACUCCGAACAAUAUUCGGUAACCACGUAUAUCUAUUCGCUAUAACCCUAGCGUCAUCGAACCUUAAGUGUGUAGACCCUACGGGUUCGGGAAACAUGCAGACAUGACCGAGAUGACUCUCCGGUCAAUAACCAACAGCGGGAUCUGGAUACCCAUGUUGGCUCCCACAUGUUCCACGAUGAUCUUAUCGGAUGAACCACGAUGUCGAGGACUUAAUCAAUCCCGUAUACAAUUCCCUUUGUCUAGCGGUAUGAUACUUGCCCGAGAUUCGAUCGUCGGUAUCCCGAUACCUUGUUCAAUCUCGUUACCGGCAAGUCUCUUUACUCGUUCCAUAACACAUCAUCCCGUGAUCAACUCCUUGAUCACAUUGUGCACAUUAUGAUGAUGUCCUACCGAGUGGGCCCAGAGAUACCUCUCCGUCACACGGAGUGACAAAUCCCAGUCUCGAUUCGUGCCAACCCAACAGACACUUUCGGAGAUACCUGUAGUGUACCUUUAUAGCCACCCAGUUACGUUGUGACGUUUGGCACACCCAAAGUAUUCCUAGGGUAUUCGGGAGUUGCACAAUCCCAUGGUCUAAGGAAAUGAUACUUGACAUUAGAAAAGCUUUAGCAUACGAACUACAUGAUCUUGUGCUAGGCUUAGGAUUGGGUCUUGUCCAUCACAUCAUUCUCCUAAUGAUGUGAUCCUGUUAUCAAUGACAUCCAAUGUCCAUGGUCAGGAAACCGUAACCAUCUAUUGAUCAACAAGCUAGUCAACUAGAGGCUUACUAGGGACAUGGUGUUGUCUAUGUAUCCACACAUGUAUCUGAGUUUCCUAUCAAUACAAUUCUAGCAUGGAUAAUAAACGAUUAUCAUGAACAAGGAAAUAUAAUAAUAAUCAAUUUAUUAUUGCCUCUAGGGCAUAUUUCCAACAGUCUCCCACUUGCACUAGAGUCAAUAAUCCAGUUCACAUCGAUAUGUGAUUAACACUCAAGGUCACAUCCACAUGCGACUUACACCCAAAGAGUUUACUAGAGUCAAUAAUAUAGUUCACAUUACCAUGUGAUUAACACUCGAUGAGUUCUGGGUUUGAUCAUGUUAUGCUUGUGAGAGAUGUUAUAGUCAACAGGUCUGAAUCUUUCAGAUCCGUGUGUGCUUUAGAAAUAUGUAUGUCAUCUCCUAGAUACAGCUACCACGUUCUAUUUGGAGCUAUUCCAAAUAACUGUUCGACUAUACGAAUCCAGUUUACUACUCAGAAUAAUCUGGAUUAGUGUCAAAGUUUGCAUCGGCAUAACCCUUUACGAUGAACUCUUUUACCACCUCCAUAAUCGAGAAAACUCCUUAGUCCACUAGUUACUAAGGAUAACUUUGACCACUGUCCUGUGAUCCAUUCUUGGAUCACUCUUGUACCCCUUGACUGACUCAUGGCAAGGCACACUUCAGGUGCGGUACACAGCAUAGCAUACUGUAGAGCCUACGUCUAAAGCAUAGGGGACGACCUUCGUCCUUUCUCUCUAUUCUGCCACGGUCAGGUUUCGAGUCUUAAUCAAUGUUCACACCUUAUAACACAGCCAAGAACUCCUCCUCCGCCGAUCCAUUUUGAACUCCUUCAAAAUCUUGUCACGGUAUGUAUUCAUUUGAAAGUACUAUUAAGCAUUUUGAUCUAUCCUUAUAGAUCUUAAUGCUCAAUACUCAAGUAGCCUAAUCCAGUUUUUCCAUUGAAAAACACUUUUCAAAUAACUCUGCAUGCUUUCCAGAAAUUCUACAUCAUUUCGGAUCAACAAUAUGUCAUCCACAUAUACUUAUCAGAAAUGUCGUAGUGCUCCCACUCACUUUAUUGUAAAUACAAGUUUCUAACAAACUUUGUAUAAACCCAUAAUCUUUGAUUACUCCAUCAAAGUGUAUAUUCCAACUCUAACAUGCUUACUCCAGUCCUUAGAAGGAUUGCUGGAGCUUUGCAUACUUGUUAGCAUCUUUCAGGAUUGACAAAACCUUCCGGUUGUAUCACAUACAACUUUUCCUCAAGAAAAUCGCCGAGGAAACAAUGUUUUGUCAUCCUAUCUGCAAGAUUUCAUAAAUAAUGCAGUAAUCGCUAAUAUAGUUCCAACAGACUCUUAGCAUCACUACGAGUGAGAAAGUCUCAUCGUAGUCAACUCCUUGAACUUGUCGGAAAACAUCUUAACGACAAGUCGAGCUUUCUUAAUGGUGAUACUUACCAUCAUUGUCCGUCUUCCUUUUAAAAUCCAUCUGUACUCAAUAGCCUUACGACCAUCGAGCCGUUCUGCCAAAGUCUACACUUUGUUUUCGUACAUGGAUCCUCUCUCGGAUUUUAUGGCCUCGAGCCAUUUAUCGGAAUCCGGGCCCACCAUUGCUUCUCCAUAGCUCGUAGGUUCAUUGUUGUCUAGCAACAUGACUUCCAAGACAGGAUUACGUACCACUCUGAAGUAGUACGCAUCCUUGUCAUCCCACGAGGUUUGGUAGUGACUUGAUCUGAAGUUUCAUGAUCACUAUCAUAAGCUUCCACUUCAAUUGGUGUAGGUGUCACAGGAACAACUCCAUGUGCCCUGCCACACACUAGUUGAAGAGACAGUUCAAUAACCUCAUCAAGGCUCUACCAUCGUCCCACUCAAUUCUUUCGAGAGAAACUUUUCCUCGAGAAAGGACCCGAUUCUAGAAACAAUCCCUUAUUGCUUUCAGAUCUGAGACAGGAGGUACACCCAACUGUUUUGGGUGUCCUAUGAAGAUGCAUUCAUCCGCUUUGGGUUCGAGCUUAUCAGCCUGAAACUUUUUUCACAUAAGCGUCGCAGCCCCAAACUUUUAAGAAAUGACAGCUUAGGUUUCUCUAAACCAUAGUUCAUACGGUGUCAUCUCAUCGGAAUUACGUGGUGCCCUAUUUAAAGUGAAUGUGGUUGUCUCUAAUGCCUAACCCAUAAACUGUCGUGGUAAUUCGAUAAGAGACAUCAUGGUAUGCAUCAUAUCCAAUAGGGUGCAGUUAUGAUGUUCGGACACACCAUCACACUAUGGUGUUCCAGGCUGUAUUGGUUGUUAAACAAUUUCCACAAUGUCUUAAUUCUGUGCCAAACUCGUAAUUCAGAUAUUCAUCUCUACGAUCAUAUCAUAGACAUUUUAUCCUCUUGUCACGAUGAUGUUCAACUUCACUCUGAAAUUACUUGAACCUUUCAAUAAUUCAGACUUAUGUUUCAUCAAGUAAAUAUACUCAGUAUCUACUCAAAUCAUCUGUGAAGUAAGAACAUAACGAUAUCCACUACACGCCUCAGCACUCAUUGGACUGCGCACAUCAAGAUGUAUUACUUCCAACAAGUUGCUUUCUUGUUCCAUUUUACUGAAAACGAGGCUUUCAGUCAUCUUGCCCAUGUGGUAUGAUUUGCAUGUCUCAAGUGAUUCAAAAUCAAGUGAGUCCAAACGAUCCAUCUGUAUAGAGUUUGUUCAUGCAUAUCUACCAACAAACAUGGUUGGCAUGUCUCAAUCCUUUCAGAAAAUGAGUGAGUCCAAAGAUCCAUCAACAUGGAGCUUCUUCAUGCGUUUUAUACCAAUAUGACUCAAAUUGCAGUGCCACAUUUGUGUGGUACUAUCAUUACUAUCUUAUACCUUUGGCAUGAAAAUGUGUAUUACUACGAUCAGGAUGGUAUUAUUCAAAUAAACAGAGUAACCAUUAUUCUCCUUAAAUGAAUAACAGUAUCGCGAUAGACAUAAUCCAAUCAUGUCUAUGCUCAACGCAAACACCAAAUAACAAUUAUUUAGGUUUUAAUACCAAUCUCGAUGGUAGAGGGAGCGUACGAUAUUUGAUCAACCUUGGAAAUACUUCCAACACAUAUCGUCAUCUCACCUUUUAGCUAGUCUCCGUUUAUUCCGUAGCCUUUUGUUUCAAGUUACUAACACUUAGCAACCGAACCGGUAUCUAAUACCCUGGUGCUACUAGGAGUACUAGUAAAGUACACAUUAUAAUGCAUAUCCAAUAUACUUCUGUCGACCUUGCCAGCCUUCUCAUCUACCAAGCAUCUAGGGUGGUUCUGCUUCAGUGACUGUUCCCCUUAUUACAGAAGCACUUAGUCUCGGGCUUGGGUUCAACUUUGGGUUUCUUCACUAGAGCAGCAGCUGAUUUGCCGUUUCAUGAAGUAUCCCUUCUUGCCCUUGCCCUUCUUGAAACUAGUGGUUUCACCAACCAUCAACAAUUGAUGCUCCUUCUUGAUUUCUACUUUUGUGGUGUCAAACAUCGCGAAUAUCUCAAGGAUCAUCAUAUGUCCCUGAUAUAUUAUAGUUCAUCACGAAGCUCUAGUAGCUUGGUGGUAAUGCGUUCGGAGAAACAUCACUGUCUCAUUUGGAAGAUCAACUCCCACUCGAUUCAAAUGAUUGUUGUACUCAGACAAUCUUAGCACAAGCUCAACAAUUGAGCUUCUCUCCGUUAGUUUGCAGGCUAAGAAAAUCGUCGGAGGUCUUAUACCUCUUGAUGUGGGCACGAGCCUGAAAUCCCAAUUUCAGCCCUCGAAACAUCUCAUAUGUUUCGCGACGUUUUAAAAUGUCUUCGGUGCCUCAACUCUAAACCGUUUAACUGAACUAUCACGUAGUUAUCAAAAUGUGUAUGUUAGAUGUUCGCAACAUCCACAGACGACAUUCGAGGUUCAGCACACUGAGCGGUGCAUUAAGGACACUAGAUGAUGCCCCGCGCGUUGCUGCGGGAAUUGGUUGCAAUAUAUUUCAAUAAGAUGAGAUUGUGUGAAAUAUAAAUUUUUAGAUUAACAACACAUGAACCAAAAUUAAACAUGCAUAUGACUUAUUAUAUGUGAUAAAAUAUUUAUUGAAUUUAAGUUGAACAAUAGAAUGAUAAUUAUUUUCCCAUGCAUGGUUGCAUGUGGUGGUGGGUCUUUAUCAUGCAUGGUUGUAUGUUAUGGUGGGCCUUAUCCCAUCUAUAAUUGUAUGGUGAUGUGGCAUGCUUGCAUGUUAAGAUAAAUAGGUUAGUGGGGAUCAAUCUCUUAGGUAUAUAAGAUAAGCCUUUUACUGUCUGCAUAAUUGCUACUAUCAACUUUCAACUAAAUUUUCUCUAGGAACAUAUCUAAACAGUAGAACUAAAGCGCGAGCUACGACAUAAUUUGCAAAAUCCUUUUGACUAUGUUCAGGAUAAUUAAGUUCAUGAACUCCCACUCAGAUAGACAUCCCUCUAGUCAUCUAAGUGAUUACAUGAUCCGAGUCAACUAGGCCGUGUCCGAUCAUCACGUGAGACGGACUAGUCAACAUCGGUGAACAUCUUCAUGUUGAUCGUAUCUACCAUACGACUCAUGCUCAACCUUUCGGUCUCUUGUGUUCUGAGGCCAUGUCUGUACAUGCUAGGCUCGUCAAGUUAACCUAAGUGUUUCGCGUGUGUAAAUCUGGCUUACACCCGUUGUAUGUGAACAUAAGAAUCUAUCACACCCGAUCAUCACGUGGUGCUUCAAAACGACGAACUUUCACAACAGUGCACAGUUAGGGGGAACACUUUCUUGAAAUUUUAAUGAGGGAUCAUCUUAUUUACUACCGUCGUUCUAAGCAAAUAAGAUGUAUAAGCAUGAUAAACAUCACAUGCAAUCAAAUAAUAGUGACAUGAUAUGGCCAAUAUCAUAUAGCUCCUUUGAUCUCCAUCUUGGGGCUCCAUGAUCAUCUUGUCACCGGCAUGACACCAUGAUCUCCAUCAUCAUGAUCUCUAUCAUCGUGUCUUCAUGAAGUUGUCUCGUCAACUAUUACUUCUACUACUAUAGCUAACAGUUAUCAAUAAAGUAAAGUAAUUACAUGACGUUUAUGUUGACACGCAGCUCAUAAAUAAAUUAAGACAACUCCUAUGGCUCCUGCCGGCUGUCAUACUCAUCGACAUGCAAGUCGUGAUUCCUAUUACAAGAACAUGAUCAUCUCGUACAUCACAUAUAUCAUUCAUCACAUCCUUUGGCCAUAUCACAUCACAUAGCAUACCCUGCAAAAACAAGUUAGACGUCCUCUAAUUGUUGUUUGCAUGUUUUACGUGGCUGCUAUGGGUUUCUAGCAAGAACGUUUCUUACCUACGCAAAAACCACAACGUGAUAUGCCAAUUGCUAUUUACCCUUCAUAAGGACCCUUUUCAUCGAAUCCGUUCCGACUAAAGUGGGAGAGGCAGACACCCGCCAGCCACCUUAUGCAACUAGUGCAUGUCAGUCGGUGGAACCGGUCUCAUGUAAGCGUACGUGUAAGGUUGGUCCGGGCCGCUUCAUCCCACGAUGCCGUCGAAACAAGAUUGGACUAGUAACGGUAAGCAUAUUGAACAAAAUCAAUGCCCACAACUAAUUUGUGUUCUACUCGUGCAUAGAAUCUACGCAAUAGACCUAGCUCAUGAUGCCACUGUUGGGGAACGUAGCAGAAAUUCAAAAUUUUCCUACGUGUCACCAAGAUCUAUCUAUGGAGAAACCAGCAACGAGGGGAAGGAGAGUGCAUCUACAUACCCUUGUAGAUCGCUAUGCGGAAGCGUUCAUGAGAACGGGGUUGAAGGAGUCGUACUCGUCGUGAUCCAAAUCACCGAAGAUCCUAGUAUCGAACGGACGGCACCUUCGUGUUCAACACACGUACAACCCGGUGACGUCUCCCAUGCCUUGAUCCAGCAAGGAGAGAGGGAGAGGUUGAGGAAGACUCCAUCCAGCUGCAGCACGACGGCGUGGUGGUGGUGGAGGAGCGUGGUACUCCAGCAGGGCUUCGCCAAGCACCGCAAGAGACGAGGAGGGAGAGGGGUAGGGCUGCGCCAAGAAGGAGAGAAACUCGUGUGUGUUGGGCAGCCCAAACCUCAAGUAUAUAUAGGGGAAGGGGAGGGGCUGCGCCCCCACCUAGGGUUCCCUCCCUAGGGGUGGCGGAAGCCCCUAGAUCCCAUCUAGGUGGCGGCCACAAGGGGGAGAGGAGGAGGCGCACCUGGGGUGGGCCUUAGGGCCCAUCUGCCCUAGGGUUUGCCCCCCUUCCCUCUUGGAGGCGCCUUGGGACCUUGUGGGGGGGCGCACCAGCCCACCUGGGGCUGGUCCCCUCCCACACUUGGCCCAUGCAGCCCUCCGGGGCUUGUGGCCCCACUUGGUGGACCCCCGGGACCCUCCCGGUGGUCCCGGUACGUUACCGAUAAACUCCGAAACCUUUCCGGCGACCAAAACAGGACUUCCCAUAUAUAAAUCUUUACCUCCGGACCAUUCCGGAACUCCUCGUGACGUCCAGGAUCUCAUCCGGGACUCUGAACAAUAUUCGGUAACCACAUAUAUCUAUUCCCUAUAACCCUAGCGUCAUCGAACCUUAAGUGUGUAGACCCUACGGGUUCGGGAAACAUGCAGACAUGACCGAGAUGACUCUCCGGUCAAUAACCAACAGCGGGAUCUGGAUACCCAUGUUGGCUCCCACAUGUUCCACGAUGAUCUCAUUGGAUGAACCACGAUGUCGAGGACUUAAUCAAUCCCGUAUACAAUUCCCUUUGUCUAGCGGUACGAUACUUGCCCGAGAUUCGAUCGUCGGUAUCCCGAUACCUUGUUCAAUCUCGUUACCGGCAAGUCUCUUUACUCGUUCCGUAACACAUCAUCCCGUGAUCAACUCCUUGAUCACAUUGUGCACAUUAUGAUGAUGUCCUACCGAGUGGCCCCAGAGAUACCUCUCCGUCACACGGAGUGACAAAUCCUAGUCUCGAUUCGUGCCAACCCAACAGACACUUUUGAAGAUACCUGUAGUGUACCUUUAUAGCCACCCAGUUACGUUGUGACGUUUGGCACACCCAAAGUAUUCCUACGGUAUCCGGGAGUUGCACAAUCUCAUGGUCUAAGGAAAUGAUACUUGACAUUAGAAAAGCUUUAGCAUACGAACUACAUGAUCUUGUGCUAGGCUUAGGAUUGGGUCUUGUCCAUCACAUCAUUCUCCUAAUGAUGUGAUCCCGUUAUCAAUGACAUCCAAUGUCCAUGGUCAGGAAACCGUAACCAUCUAUUGAUCAACGAGCUAGUCAACUAGAGGCUUACUAGGGACAUGGUGUUGUCUAUGUAUCCACACAUGUAUCUGAGUUUCCUAUCAAUACAAUUCUAGCAUGGAUAAUAAAUGAUUAUCAUGAACAAGGAAAUAUAAUAAUAAUCAAUUUAUUAUUGCCUCUAGGGCAUAUUUCCAACACUCGUCACCUCCAGGAAUGUCAAGCUCUAGCCCCGAAUAUUGGUCCACCACCUCAUCAACCACGACAUGAGCAUAGCCUGCUGGAAUCGGGUUGCAAUGGAAGGUUGCAUCGGGGGAAUUUUUAUAAGCAACACCGUCCGCCACCUUCAAGGAUAUGUUCUUAAUUUUGAAGUGUAGCUUGCAGUUAGUGUUCUCCGCGAUAUCAUCCACGGGGUACCUAUCUAGCAUUGCGUCAAACGGGGAGGAAUCCACGCUGCUUCUCGGCAUGGAUGGGGCGGUGGUAUCCAAUGCUGUAUCAUCCGCUAGCUGCUGCAGCUGCUGAGACCCCCUUUGCUGGCUAAGUGAGUCGAUCUGCUCCUGCUGCCGCUGGAAUUUGAUUGCCAAGUCCGCGUGCGCUGAUUCUAGGCCUUGAAGGCGUUCAUAGUCGAGCUUCCUCUGCUCCUCCUCCAUCUUCCUCUUCUUCUCCUUCGCAAUCUUCUUUCUUGCAGGGUUCUCUAGUCGGCGUUCCAGUCCGAAAACCCCUCAUACCACGGAAUAGCGCCCAUGCCUCGUGUUCUUCCUGGGUGUUCAGGAUUUCCCAGGGCACGCGUAAGCUCGUCGUUCUCUCUGUUGGGCUCGAACAACCCGGACCGAGCCUCUUCUAUUGCAACAAGUAGCUUAUCUUCGGCUCCGUCCAGACAUGCCUUCUUGGAAACUUUGCCUUUCUUCGGGUCCAACUCCCCCCCAUGUGCAUAGAACCAAGUAGUACCUGGGGGGCCAGCUCAAUGUUUCUGGAGUGACACUUGCAUCCAGCAUCUCUUUCUCAGACUUAUCCCACUUAGGCAUUCCCACCGCAUAGCCACCUGGCCCCAGCUUAUGGAACUUAUCCUUUUUUGCGGCAUUGGCCUUGUUUAUUCUUGACCGUUCCUUAGAUAAUUCUGAAUCCUUGAAUUUCACGAAAUUGUCCCAAUGAGCACUUUGAUUCUCUAGUGUUCCCUCGAAUACUGGAGUCUUCCUUCCUCCCUUGACGUACUUGUCCCAUUCACGAUUCUUGUGGUUCUUGAAUGCAACCGCCAUCUUCCUAAGAGCAGCGUCCUUGACUUUCUACACAUCUGCUUCUAUGAAAUGAUCUGGUAGGGUGAAAUGUUCCAUGAGAGUAUCCCAAAGCAGACUUUUUUGUCUGUCGUCGACAAAAGUAAGAUCUGGACGUGGCUUUGCUGGCUUUCUCCAUUCUUGAAGGGAGAUCGGGAGUUGGUCCUUCACAAGAACUGCGCACUGACGAACGAACUUGUCCGCAAUCUUCUUAGGCACUAAUGGUUCGCCGUUACGUUUGAUUGCCUCGAUAUUAUACUUUACGCCCUCCUUCAACUUUUUGUUCGGGCCUCGUUUCGUCCUUUUGCCUGAAGAUUUGCUCGAUCCGGAUGGCUGAAAGAAGAAAGAUCGAUUCGUUAAUAUAUCUUCAACUCAUUUAAAACAUGUGAUGAUCACCAGAUGCCUGCUUAUAUAAAUAUAUAUACCUCUCCGGUGUUGUCAUAAUCGUAGUUCAUGACUUCAUCAAUUCGGUCAUCGCGAUCGAAUAUCAUAUCACCCUCUCCGGUGUUGUUUAGAAAUUCGGAGCCGUCAUAAUCUUCUUCAUUCUGAUCAUCAUCUGGCCCGUGUAUUAUAUCGAACAUGGUCUGUUCUCCCUCUCUGUUGGUAUUGUCCGCCAUAGCUUUUAUUUAACUAUGCCAAAAGAAAUUUAAAACAAUUUAGUAUUCAAAUUACAUCGUCUCGAAUAAUAGAUAUAAUCUCGAAUACAUCGUCUCAAAUAAUAGAUAUAAUCUCGAAUACAUCGUCUCGAAUAAUAGAUAUAAUCUCGAAUACAUCGUCUCGAAUAAUAGAUAUAAUCUCGAAUACAUCGUCUCGAAUAAUAGAUAUAAUCUCGAAUACAUCGUCUCGAAUAAUAUAUAAUCUCGAAUACAUCUUCUUGAAUAUUAUAUAUCGAGUACAUCACUGGCUAGGUAGCUAAUAAAGAUCGAAUACUAUAGAAGAAUCUAGGACACUCGCGGUUCCUGCGGCGCGGGCGGUGGACACCCAAAGAGAAGGAACCCUCACAGGAUCAUAGCUGAAGUGGGAUCCCUGAAGAAACUGCCAGGUAUUGGAGAACCUGCCGCCCUCUAAUGCAACCAUGUAGAGAUGGACGUGCUCGUCCUCCUCCCUAACACGGCGAUGUACCACCUACGGCGGGGCCGGCUCCCUCCGCACCGAAACUGGCCCACGCGAACGCCACCAAAUGAGAUUAGGGUCGACAACGGGACCCGGGGCCGGGUUCCUCAUCAAGCGGCGCGCCCCUCCAGGCAGCACCUCCUAGUGCCAACCCGGCGGAGCCCAGUCCCGGACAUGGGUCAGUCGGAUGUCGUCGCGGACGGGUCGACGGCGAGGAUGCGGGCCGGGCAUCGUCGAGAACAAAUAGUAGUUAUAUGCCCGCAAAAAGAAACAUUUUUUUAAUGAUUGGAUUUUGAUAACUAAAAUUUCUAACAUUUCUAUAUAACUAACAUUUCUAAUAUUUCUAGAACUAAAAAAAGAAAAUUUCUAACUUUUUUAUAACUAUUUCUAUAACUAAAAAAAGAAAAAUUUCUAACAAUUCUAACUUUUUUAUAACUAUUUCUAUAACUAAAAACAGAAAAAUUUCUAACAAUUCUAACAUUUCUAACUAUUCUAACAAUUCUAACAUNNNNNNNNNNNNNNNNNNNNNNNNNNNNNNNNNNNNNNNNNNNNNNNNNNNNNNNNNNNNNNNNNNNNNNNNNNNNNNNNNNNNNNNNNNNNNNNNNNNNNNNNNNNNNNNNNNNNNNNNNNNNNNNNNNNNNNNNNNNNNNNNNNNNNNNNNNNNNNNNNNNNNNNNNNNNNNNNNNNNNNNNNNNNNNNNNNNNNNNNNNNNNNNNNNNNNNNNNNNNNNNNNNNNNNNNNNNNNNNNNNNNNNNNNNNNNNNNNNNNNNNNNNNNNNNNNNNNNNNNNNNNNNNNNNNNNNNNNNNNNNNNNNNNNNNNNNNNNNNNNNNNNNNNNNNNNNNNNNNNNNNNNNNNNNNNNNNNNNNNNNNNNNNNNNNNNNNNNNNNNNNNNNNNNNNNNNNNNNNNNNNNNNNNNNNNNNNNNNNNNNNNNNNNNNNNNNNNNNNNNNNNNNNNNNNNNNNNNNNNNNNNNNNNNNNNNNNNNNNNNNNNNNNNNNNNNNNNNNNNNNNNNNNNNNNNNNNNNNNNNNNNNNNNNNNNNNNNNNNNNNNNNNNNNNNNNNNNNNNNNNNNNNNNNNNNNNNNNNNNNNNNNNNNNNNNNNNNNNNNNNNNNNNNNNNNNNNNNNNNNNNNNNNNNNNNNNNNNNNNNNNNNNNNNNNNNNNNNNNNNNNNNNNNNNNNNNNNNNNNNNNNNNNNNNNNNNNNNNNNNNNNNNNNNNNNNNNNNNNNNNNNNNGGGAUGGAGACGUACGGGGGGCGCGGCGGGCGACGGUGCAGAGGAGAAGAAGCAGAUGAGAAACUGAAAUUUUCGUAAGUGUUGUUUAUAUAGGAGGGGCCUUUAGUACCGGUUGGAGCCACCAACCGGUACUAAAGGCCUGUUUUGGCCAGGCCAAGCGGCGGGAAGCGACCCCCUUUAGUACCGGGUGGUGGCUCCAACCGGUACUAAAGGCCCCCCCUUUAGUACCGGUUGGUGGCACGACCCGAUACUAAAGGGGGUGCGCUAGCGCAGGUGCGGUGCGGCAAGUUUAGUCCCACCUCGUUAGCCGAGGCGCGACCGCACUGGUUUAUAAACCCCCGUGCGGUAGCUCUCUCGAGCUCCUCUCCAAAGCAGGCCUACUGGGCCUUUGCGGGCCUGCAUCCUGGCCCAACAACAGGUUGGGUUUCUAGUCGUAUGCCGGCCGCUUUGGCCUAGUAGGCAGGUUUUUUUUAUUUUUUUGCUUUAUUUAUUUUUGAGUUGUUUCUUUUGUGUAUUUAGAGUUUCUUUGUGAAUAUUUUUGCUUUAGGUAGAAAAAAUUACAAACUUUCUGUUAGUGCCCAUAGUUUUCAAAUUUGAAUAGUUUAAAUUUUGAAUUAUUUGAAAUUAGUGUGAAUCACUAGUUUGUAAAUAACUUAACUUCAAAAAUCAGUGAAGGCAUGAAAGAAUUUGUUUGCACAUAAAAUUUCUUCGCGUUUCAAAUGCCAAAACACAUAAUUAACCAUCCUAACUAUUACAGAGAUUCCCUUCUAGAUGUGAAACACAGAAGAAAGUGAUGAUAGUGAAGCCGAUCACAACCCAGAUCUUUGGGUGUGAAACUUUUUCUUCGCGUGUGUCCCUUUGCGCCGUAACCAUGGAAAAUCUUCAUCAUUUAACGGGAUGCUCGGGUCAAUAUUCACUGUGAAUGGAGAAAUUUCAUCAAACUUUUCAUAAUCUUCUGACUUGUCUGUCUUGUCAUCCACUCCCACGAUGUUUCUCUUCCCAGAAAGAACUAUGUGCCGCUUUGGCUCAUCGUACGAUGCAUUCGCUUCCUUAUCUUUUCUUAUUCUUGGCUUGGUAGACAUGUCCUUCACAUAGAAAACCUGUGCCACAUCAUUGGCUAGGACGAAUGGUUCGUCUGCAUACGCAAGAUUAUUGAGAUCCACUGUUGUCAUUCCGUACUGCGGGUCUUCCGUUACCCCGCCUCGUGUCAUAUUGACCCAUUUGCACCGAAACAAAGGGACCUUCAAACCACGUAGAUAGUCAAGUUCCCAUAUGUCCUGUAUAUAACCAUAAUAUGUUUCCUUUCCCGUCUUGGUUUCUGCAUCAAAGCGGACACCACUGUUUUGGUUGGUGCUCUUCUUAUCUUGGGCAAUCGUGUAAAAUGUAUUACCAUUUAUCUCGUACCCUUUGAAAGUCAUUAUAUUCGAAGAUGGUAACUGGGACAGCAAGUACAGGUCAUCUUCAAUAGAGGUUUCAUGCAUGGUACGUGUCUGCAACCAGCUGGCGAAACUCCUGGUUUGUUCACGUGUAAUCCAGUCAUCAGACCGCUCCGGGUGUUUGGAGCGUAGCAAAUUCUUGUGUUCAUCCAUAUACGGAGCCACCAAGGCGGAAUUCUGUAGAACUGUGUAGUGUGCUUCAGUGAGAGAAUGUCCGUCCAUACAUAUUAUUUGUUCCCCUUCUAGCGUGCCUUUUCCAUCCAGUCUGCCCUUAUGCCGCGAUUCAGCAACACCAAUCGGCUUAAGGUCAGGAAUAAAUUCAAUACAAAACUCAAUGACCUCCUCAUUUUGACGGCCCUUGGAGAUGCUUCCUUCUGGCCUAGCAUGGUUAUGAACAUAUUUCUUUAAGACUCCCAUGAACCUCUCAAAGGGGAACAUAUUGUGUAGAAAUACAGGACCCAAAACGUUAAUCUCUUCGCAUAGAUGAAUUAGGACGUGCGUCAUGAUGUUGAAGAAGGAUGGUGGGAACACCAACUCGAAACUGAUAAGACAUUGCACCAAAUCAUUCUCUAACCUUGGUAUGAUUUCUGGAUCGAUUACCUUUUGAAAGAUUGCAUUGAGAAAUGCACAUAGCUUCACAAUGGCUAAUCGAACGUUUUCCAGUAGAAGCCCCCUCAAUGCAACCGGAAGCAGUUGCGUCAUAAUCACGUGGCAGUCAUGAGACUUUAGGUUCUGGAAUUUUUUCUCUGCCAUGUUUAUUAUUCCCUUUAUAUUCGACGAGAAGCCAGACAGUACCUUAAUACUGAGCAGGCAUUCAAAGAAGAUUUCCUUCUCUUCUUUGGUAAGAGCGUAGCUUGCAUGACCCUCAUGUAUGCCGUCUUUUCCGUGCAUACGUUGCUGGUCCUCUCGUGCCUCAGGUGUAUCUUUUGUCUUCCCAUACACGCACAAGAAGCCAAGCAGGGUCACACAAAGAUUCUUCGUCACGUGCAUCACGUCGAUUGCGGAGCGGACCUCUAGGUCUUUCCAAUAGGGCAGGUCCCAAAAUAUAGAUUUCUUCUUCCACAUGGGUGCGCGUCCGUCAGCGUCAUUCGGAACAGGUUGUCCACCAGGACCCUUUCCAAAGACCACCUUCAAAUCCUUGACCAUAUCAUGUACAUCAGCACUAGUACGGUGGCGAGGCUUCGUCCGGUGAUCCGCCUCACCUUUGAAAUGCUUGCCUUUCUUUCUUACGGGAUGCCUACUCGGAUGAAAUCGACGAUGUCCCAGGUACACAUUCUUCUUACAAUUAGCCAAGUAUAUACUGUCGGUAUCGUCCAAACAGUGCGUGCAUGCGCGGUAUCCCUUGUUUGUCUGUCCUGAAAGGUUACUGAGAGCAGGCCAAUCAUUGAUGGUCACGAACAGCAUCGCCUUUAGGUCAAAUUAUUCCCCCAUGUGCUCAUCCCACGCACGUACACCUAUUCCAUUCCACAGUUGUAAGAGUUCUUCAACUAAUGGCCUUAGGUACACAUCAAUGUCGUUGUCGGGUUGCUUAGGGCCUUGGAUGAGCACUGGCAUCAUAAUGAACUUCCGCUUCAUGCACAACCAAGGAGGAAGGUUAUACAAACAUAGAGUCACAGGCCAGGUGCUAUGGUUGCUGCUCUGCUCCCCAAAAGGAUUAAUGCCAUCUGCGCUUAGACCAAACCAUACGCUACUUGCGUCAUCUGCAAACUCCUUCCCAUACUUUCUUUCGAUUUUUCUCCACUGCGACCUGUCAGCGGGUACUCUCAACUUUCCGUCUUUCUUACGGUCUUCUCUGUGCCAUCACAUCGCAUGCUCUUUAUUUUGGAACAAACGUUUCAACCGUGGUAUUAUAGGAGCAUACCACAUCACCUUGGCAGGAAUCUUCUUCCUGGGGCGCUCUCCCUCGACAUCACCAGGGUCAUCGCGGCUGAUCUUAUAGUGCAAUGCACCACAUACCGGGCAAGCGUUCAAAUCCUCGUACUCACUGCGGUAGAGGAUGCAAUCAUUAGGGCAUGCAUGUAUCUUCUGCACCUCUAACCCUAGAGAGCAGACAGCCUUCUUUGCUUCGUACGUACUCUCGGGCAAUUCGUUGUCCUCUGGAAGCAUAUCCUUUAUCAUUACCAGCAACUUUCCAAAUCCCUUGUCAGAUACACCAUUCUCUGCCUUCCAUUGCAGCAAUUCCAGUGUGGUGCCCAGCUUUUUCUUGUCACCUACGCAAUUCGGGUACAACAAUUUUUUGUGAUCUUCUAACAUGCGCUGCAACUUCUUCUUCUCCAAAUCACUUACGCAGUUUCUCUUUGCAUCGGCAAUGGCCCGACCUAGAUCAUCAACGGGCUCAUCUGAUGCCUCUUCUUCAGCUUCUUCCCGCAUUGCCGGCUCAGCUUCUUCCCGCAUUACCGGCUCAGCUUCUUCCCCCAUUGUUGUAUCAUCGUAUUCAGGGAACCCAUGGCCAGGAUAGCUGUCGUCGUCCUCUUCUUCUUCAUUGUCUUCCAUCAUAACCCCUCUUUCUCCGUGCUUGGUCCAAACAUUAUAGUGGGGCAUGAAACCGGACUUAAACAGGUGGACGUGAAUGGUUCUUGACGUAGAGUAAUUGUGACCAUUCUUACAGCAAGCACAUGGACAAGGCAUAAAACCAUCCGCCCGCUUGUUUGCCUCAGCCGCAAGCAGAAAAGUAUGCACGCCCUCAACGAACUGGGGAGAGCAUCGGUCAUCGUACAUCCAUUGCCGGCUCAUCUUCAUUACACAACACCGAAUAGACCAAAUUAAUACAAGUUCAUACAUAAAGUUCAUACAACACUUAAAUGCAACAAACAAAUAACUCUCUAGCUAAAGCAUUUAAAUGCAACAACAAAUACGAUCAAGAUCGCAACUAAGGUAACAAUGGAUCCAACAACAUAAUGAUACCAAGCCUCACUAUCGAUGGCAUAUUUUCUAAUAUUUCUAAUCUUCAAGCGCAUUUUCUCCAUCUUGAUCUUGUGAUCAUCGACGACAUCGGCAGCAUGCAACUCCAAUUCCAUCUCCUCCCGCUUAAUUCUUUUCAAUUUUUCCUUUAAAUCCUCGUUUUCUCUUUCAACUAAAUUUAACCUCUCGACAAUAGGGUCGGUUGGAAUUUCCGGUUCAACUACCUCCUACAUACAAAUAUCUAUGUCAACUUGAUGGGCAUAAUUUGUCAUAAACACGAAAUGCAACUAGUUUUAAAAGAGAAUAUAUAUACCACAUCCGAAUCAUAACAAGGACGAGGGCCGACGGGGACGGAUAUCAAAACCAUGGCACUAUAUGUAUAACAAACAACGUACGGGUAAGAUAAUUAUACGAGUAACUAUAUAUCCAAAUCACACAAACAUCAAUUUUUAUAUAAAAUUUCAUGAACAAGAGGCUCACCACAAGGUGGUGCCGGCGACGGGACGGUGCGGGCGAUCGACGGUGGUUACAACGGAGAUUUAGAAGGCACUAAGUAAACCACACCUACAUAUGCAAACUAAGUGUUAUUUUUGACCUCAGAUUGCAUAUAAAUCAAAUACUAGCACAUAUAUACAUACAUAUAUAUAUAUAUAUAUAUAUAUAUAAUUACUAAACUCACAAAUUAAUCACUAUAUAAAGCAUUGCAAGAGCUAAUCUAGCAAUGAGAGAUGAAAGGACAAAGUUGCUAACCUUUGUGAUCAUUUGAAUGGAUGGGGGCCUUCAAAUCUUGACAAAUUUUGGGCAAAAUGUGUGAUGAGCUCGAGAGGAAGAGGGGAAGAACAGAGAGGAGAGGGGAAAGGGGAAGAACAGAGCGAGCUCGGGUGGACGAAGGGUUUAUGUAGGACGACCUUUAGUACCGGUUUAUGCCAAGAACCGGUACUAAAGGGGCUGGAGGGGCCCCAGUCUGACAACAUCCUGCCACCACUCUCAUUAGUACCGGUUCGUGGCACGAACCGGUGCUAAAGGUUCGCCAUGAACCGGUACUAAUGAAAGCGGCCCAGCUAGCCGUUGGAACCGGCACUAAUGUAUACAUUAGUGCCGGCUCAAAUACAAACCGGCACUAAUGUGCUUCACGUUUGACCUUUUUUCUACUAGUGAGAUCAACACGUGGUGGCCUUUAAUUAACCAGAUGGAUGUCCGGACUCCUGCAAAACCUCUUAUCUUGCUUCCGGUUAGCGGAAAAAUGGACAAGUGUACUGGUCUGCAGACCAAUUGGGGACUGCGUUGCAUGGCAAAAUUCAUCCUCACAACUUGGUUCGGACGGUUACAAAAGGUUUGAGGGUCCAUAUUGGACAAGCCCUAAGGUAGCGUCCUUGAGUGUGGUGUUUUUGGGUUCAACUCUUCACAUAAUAAUUCGAAAAAAAGGCAGGCUUUCCUAAGUGUCCUCUCCCUCCUUGAGUGCAGUGUGCGUGACUAGUAGGGUGCAUCCUCCAUAUACAUGUGAAAGAAAGAAAGUCAGACUAUUCUUAAAUCUCCUCGUCAUGUAUAACGAACAAUUCAAACACGUCAUAUAAUAAUACAAGAUUGAGAAAUAGUUCAAUUCUUAAACCAUUAAAUCUGCUCAGUGUCUUUUUUAUUUUUAUUUUAGUUUUUCUCCUUGCACAUUGUACUUUUUUCAUUUGUAUGGAUUUUCAUUUUUGGGGGGCAUAAAUAUAAUGCAUGCUCGUGAUCCGCAUGUAAUUACAAUGCCGCUCUAGCGCCACAACUUCUCAAUCUUUUUUUUUUCAAAAAAACUUUUGAUCUAUUCAUCUUCAAUCAUGACAGUACAACGAACAACAAAAACAAAUAUUUCUUUCAAAUCCAUAGACCAUCUAGCGAUGACUACAAGCACUGAAGUGAGCCAAAGGCGCGCCGCCGUCAUCGCCCCUCCAUCGCUGGAGUCGGGCACAACUUAUUGUAGUACUCGGUCGGAAAGUUAUCGUGCUAAGGCCUCAUAAGACCAGCGCACCAGAACAACAACGGCCUCCGAUGAAGAAUAACGUAGGUCGGAAGGAUCCAGCCCGAAGACAUAGGAACGCAGACGAACAACGACGAGAUGCAAGCAAAUCCACCAAAAAUAGAUCCGCCGGAGACACACCUCCACACGCCCACCAAUGAUACUAGACGCACCGCCGGAACUAGGGCUAGGGGGAGACCUUUAUUCCAUCUUCAGGAAACCGCCGCGUCUCUUUUCGUGAGCAUGACACAAAUUCUAACAAGACUGAAAAAACAACUAAAAACGGAGUUCUCCCUCCAGCCCAUGUGAGGAUCCACCGCGCCUCCAUAGCCCUAGGGCCAUCAGAGACGAGACGGACCUGCGGCANNNNNNNNNNNNNNNNNNNNNNNNNNNNNNNNNNNNNNNNNNNNNNNNNNNNNNNNNNNNNNNNNNNNNNNNNNNNNNNNNNNNNNNNNNNNNNNNNNNNNNNNNNNNNNNNNNNNNNNNNNNNNNNNNNNNNNNNNNNNNNNNNNNNNNNNNNNNNNNNNNNNNNNNNNNNNNNNNNNNNNNNNNNNNNNNNNNNNNNNNNNNNNNNNNNNNNNNNNNNNNNNNNNNNNNNNNNNNNNNNNNNNGGGGGGGGCUUAGACGUCCAUCGUCCACGUGUAACUAUAGUUGCACGCCUGAAGAAUAGUGUGAGCCGCAAUAACAAACAUCUGAAGAUUGUGGGACCAAUACUCUUGAUAAAAAACGCGGGGUUUAGACCAGGUGACAAACUGAACGAAGAAACAGAAGUUAAUCACCAAAAUGUGUCUCAAAUAAUCUAGGGGAUCAUUCCAAACCAACGAUAAUCGGCGCAUCCUCCCUGCAUGCUAAGUCGACCGCGCAUCUAUGCUCGACGUCCUCACCACCGCCAAUGGUGAUGGGCGUGCAGUAGUAGACGGCUCGUAUGCCGGUCAUGUUGCGCCCGGUGUAAACAUUCUGGACGAUGCGGGUGCCGAUGAUGUUCAACAACCCGCCAGCGAUGCUGCUGCCGUUGGCGAGCGUCUCGAAGUAGAACCGCUGGACGUGCGGUAACUCCAUAUGGGUGGUCUUCUCAACUAUAGUUUCCAACGUGGACUGGUGCUCCACGUCCAUGGAGGGGAAUAUUGUCAUUGUCAAGAAGCUCUUCAUCGUUGACGACGAGUUCCUGCCGAGGAGAUGGGCCCUCACAUCGGUGUAGAAGAUGCGGAUGCUGCUGCUGGGGUUGACGGCACGGACAAUGUAGCUGAAGGUUAGGUUGUGGCCGACGAUGCUCGGGUUGAACGGCUCGGUCAGGUUACCGCUUCGCCGCACCGAGACGGAGCCGCCGACGAUCCAGAGGGUGAGGCCUUUGGGGCGGUGGAUCUCCCCGACGGCGAACAUGAUGACCACGGCCAUGAGCACGGUCAUAGUGGCGGCCACCACCGUGCGCAGCACGGCGAUGCACCGGAAAACUGACUUCUUCAAGACGUUGUGUGCCGCCCGCGCCAUGCGUACGUACGUGUCUUCUUGGAUUACCUUGCUGCGUCCUCUCUAUGGGGAAGCACGAUUGCUUCACUCCACUGGUAUGCAUUUAUACACCAUUUAUUCCUGUAAGGAGAGAUCGGUCCUACCACACGCGUCAGCCACCGACAGUCGGCCUACUCACGAGAAUAACUUUUUGUUUUCGAGAGAGCAAACUUACGAGCAGAUGGAGCUGGGCCCAAAUAUUACAUAUAGGUUUUUUUGUCAUUUAUGCCCCCAGUUGUGUCCCACUACUCAGUUUUGCCACUAGGAAUUUUCACUACUCAAAAAUGUCAUCGUUUCGUUAGGCACAUGCUCAAAAAUGAUAAAAACUAGUAUUCACAACUACUAAAAAACAGUAAUUCUAACGCAACUAGUAUGUACCGGUGAAAGUUUCCUAAAAAAAUGUGUACCGAUGAAACAUCUAUCAUGCAUUGUGUAUAUUAGGAUUCAUGCUAGCUUUACAGGUAUAACAUGACAAAUCAUUUCCUACGCAAUACGUCAGGUUCAAGAGAGGAAUACAAGUGCAUGUGUCAACUUGUGUCUGCUUUAACAGGAGAGACAGCCAGAGAGUGGCCAGAAGGAGCAUUGCAUGUAUUCUCUCUCUCCAUGCAAAAGAUGGGUAUUUUAUUUCUUGUCAUAGUUUUGAAUGAUCGGUAUAUUUUCAACCAAAUCGUCAUUUCUGAGUUUUCUUAUAUAUUUGAAUUCGUAAUGAGAAGACCUUUAGGACAGUAUCAAUCUUGGAUAUAUUUCGAUUAUUUUUCAUUUCCUUUUUUCACAUUUUGGAGAUAUCAAAACUCAUAUAUUUCACAUUCACGUAUGUUUCAUAUAUACGAAAAGCUGAUUUUACUCGCUUCGAAAUUAUUUUACAGAAUGUAAAAAACUGAUUACAAUUAUUUUGAAAAACCAAUUUCACUUAAUUCAAAAAAAUCACUUGUUUCAUGAAUCGAUUUCAAUUGUUUCCAAAAACCAAUUAGAAAUAACCAGGUUGGCAUAUUUUAAAUAACUAGUUUAUUUUUUAAAAUAGCAAGUUUCACAUGUUUCGCACUGGAAUAUGUUUCAUUUCUAUGAAAAUCAGAUUUCACUCAUUAAAAAAAAGGGUUUCACUCAAUUCAAAAUACUUAUUUUACUUAUUUUAGAAAAUGAAAUUGCACUAAUUUCAAAAACUUUCAAUUCAAAAAACAAUUUCACUCAUUUCCAAAAAUAGAUUUCACUCAUUUAAAAAAAUGAUUGAAAUAGUCAGCUUCUCUGUGAACCCUGUAAGUUAAUGAUAAAGCGACUUAACUGAGAAGGAUCCAGAUUUAGUUAAAAGCCAUUUAACUCUGUCAGCCUCCUCCGACAGAGUAACCUGACUACACAUAUCAAGUAAUUCAUUCCACAUUGUAAGAGUUUCUCCAUAAAGACAUCUCCUAAAUCUAAUACAAUCAAAAUCCUGGUUAAAGACUUUAGCAACAGUAACAUGUUGACAGAAAGUUAAAUUAUACAAGCGGGGGAAAAGUUGACAAAGUGGCUUUCUCCCCAGCCAUGUGUCCUCCCAAAAUCUCGUCUUACAACCAUCACCCACCACCCUUUGACAGCAAGAAUAGAAGAUACUCAACAACCCAUUCCAAAAAUGGGAAUUACCCCGAGAUGCUUCACAUUGAACCAGAGUUUUCCUACUCAAAUAUUUGGCUCUAAUCAUUUCCUGCCAAUCCCCUUCCUCAUUCUCUAAUCUCCAUAACCACUUACAUAAGUGGCUGAUGUUUUUAAUCUCCAAAUUAGUAAUCCCCAGACCCCCCUGGUCUCUAGGUUGGCAUACGUCCACCCACUUGACUAAGUGAUACUUUCUCACUCCAUCCCUUUCUUGCCAAACCAGAGCACGAACAAAGUCCAUUCUCUUGCCUACACCUUCAGGUAGUUUAAAAAAGAAAGCAAAUGGCUAGGAACAUUACUCAUACAAGUCUCAGCGAGGGUGAUCCUAUCACCCAUUGAAAGCAAACCCCCUUGCCAGGUUGCUGCCUUCUUCUCAAUUUUCUCUUCAGCUGGUUUCCAAUGCGCAUUAUGCAACUUUUUAAAAUGUAAAGGAAGGCCUAAAUAAGUAAAGGGGAAGUCCCCGACCGCACAAGUGAAAAUCUGAGCAUAUUCUUCUUGUUUCAAUAAAGCGGCACCAAAGCAAUGGAUUUCACUUUUUAAGAAAUUGAUUUUCAAACCCGUCAAGUGCUCAAACACGCAUAGAAUGACUUUAAGGUUUCUAGCCCCUUCUAAGUCAUCUUCAAAGCAGAAAAUCGUAUCAUCAGCAUAUUGUAAGACUGUAAGACCACCCUCAUACAAUCUAGGCAGAACUCCUUUAAUAAAUCCUUGUUCUUGUGCUCUUUGAACCAGGGUAGCAAGAACAUCAGCAGCAAGGUUAAACAAUAGGGGAGAGAACGGGUCCCCCUGCCUCAAUCCUUUCCUAGUAACAAAAUAGGGGCCAAUCAAGUCAUUUAAAGUAAUAGCUACUUUACCAUUAUGAAUAACUGCUUUUGUCCAACGAAUAAAUUUAUCAGGAAACCCCUUCAUUUUCAGCGUACUAAGCAUAAAGUCCCAAUUAAUUUUAUCAUAAGCUUUCUCAAAAUCAACCUUAAAAAUAACAGCAGCGCAUUUAGACUUAUGUAGUGAGUGAAGCGUCUCAUGGAGAACAGCGACAUUAUCUAAAAUAUAACGCCCUUUGACACUAACACGCGCUGGUCACCCUGUACGUCAUCGUCGCGAUCUCUCCGAAGGUGCUCAAGAUUGGGCCGACGUCUGUAGACUCACCCAAAACCGCGGCCGCUGUGUGGAGGAUAGGCAUGGGAACAUCGGAAGAUGGAGCACACAAUGUUGAUGGGGGCGGCACGCGACCUACUACCUACGUCCGGGUGUAUAGGUCAUGCAUAUACUUCUAGAUCGAUAAUUUAACGAGAAAAUAUGUAUUUUAUGUGAAAAAAAUAUAUUUUUAGAAGCUACACCUGCACAUGAAUCUAAUAAUAUACCUUUGAUGAUAUAUAACACAUGUUUAAUUAGUUAGUCAAAUCGAUGAUUUAGAACUACGCGCACGCCCUAUACAUUAGGAGGAGGGACUACAACUUUGUUACAAAAUACGAAUGAUAGUGUAUUAAUGUAUAUUAAUUGAAAUAACUGGAGAAGUGAAAAAAAAGGGAAAUAACGGGAGAAUAUGGACAAAUGGUAGAUUCCUUUAAUCCUACAUGACGUGCACGCUAGAAAAUUCUUUUUCUGGUACUCACGCAACCGGACUAGUUAGCGAUCAAGCAAAAUGCUCUAGAAAGUUCACACAGAUUCGAAUUGAGAGCGAACGGAAAAAGAAGGUGCUUUGCUUCAAUAGGAAAACUAGCGUUAUGCGUACUCAGAUGUAUUUGAAUCCGUCCGUGCAUGCCGGAGCAACAAGGGGCGCACUGGUAGCUAACGCCUAAGGUUAACCAGCUACUACAACCAUGGCUACGGCCGACGCGAGCAAAUUUUGGACUACGAGGAACUACAUCCUGGUGGCCCUCGGCGGAACCCUCGCCGUCACGGCCGUGGUCAUUGUAGUCUCCGUCGCCCUUCACCCUGCGCACAUCAGCUUCUCCAUCCUGGACGCCUCGAACAGCAUUGACAGUGCCGGCAACGACAGCAUCCCGUACCUCAACCUCACCAUCGCCGCCGCCAACACCAGCCGGAAGCGCGCGGCGGUGCGGUACACUACCAUCUUCGUCGAACUGCAGAACAGCACAUGCAGUAGGAACACUAUCCAGACCCAGGUCUACGUGGGGCCGCCGGCCGGCAAGUACCUGCGGCCAGGUACAGGGCCGGCGAUCAUCAAGGCAUCGUCAACGGUAAGCCUGCUGUCGGGAGACCGUGUCCAGAGCAUCCAGGGGUUAACGGUGGUGGUGGUGGCGCGGGUGCGGUUCCGGAUCGCGGGGAUCAUCACGAGACUGUACGAGAUCAAGGCCUCCUGCCCACAUGUGUACUUCCCCGUAGAAAGGUCUCACAAACCCCCCGGGACGCCAAUCGACUGCGCGUUGGUUGACUAAUCACUAAUAUUCAUGUAUGCAGCCUUCAUGUCCUCUGGUGCAAAUGUGCGUGUUGAUUUCCUCUCUUCUUCUUUUGUAUUUGCACUUCUUUGUUCUGGUUUCCUGAAUUCUUUAAUUUGAAAAGUAUAUUUUUCAUCUCUCAAAUCUUUUGAAACUUUAGAUUCGGUCCCUCAACUCCAAAACCGGCAAAGCUUAGUCCCUUAACUCGUUAAACUGGAUAAGUUUAGUCCCUCGUCUCAGCCGAUCUAGUAUUGCUGCUGACUUAGCGCGUUGGUUUGUGAAGCUAUGUUGGUUUUCAACCCAUCAUGAUCCCCACAGUUCUAUGUCCUCAACUUUAAACGGGACCCUUUAACUUCCUUCUUGAGCGCGCCCGAGGUGUUUUCAUCCAGCCUUUCCACAUGGCUUAUGUAUGAUGCAUGGUGGAAUUCUGGGAUGCCCACUGUUAUUGGAUAUCCGCACUUGUUCAUAGAUGGUUCACUCUAUCUAUUUAAUCCGUGGAGGAAUUCAAGGUGGAGGAUCUUGGUGUUGAAUGGCUUUGAGGCAAUGAGUUCCUGCAUACCGCCUAAUCGUCGAACUAUCAAGUUGCCAAACAACCUUCUGUUGAGUCUCUGAAUGGCCUUUCCGCUGGUAUGUACGCUCCAGGUUUCUUUGGACACUCUCUAGGGUCCUUGCACUUUGCAUUGCCGUAGGUGGAUGAGAGUGCGAUCCGUAUCUGGAGUCUUGAUGUUUUUGGGCCUUACAAGUGGACUAUGAAGCAUCGUCUUGGUAUGAGAGAUGUGUUUGAAAGAGAUGACCUUGCUCACCAUGACUCCACUCAAUAGUGUCAGAAUUGUGCUUACAAGAUUGCCACUCUCGACUUGGAGAGUGACAUCAUGUUCCUCUUUGACCAGGAAAACAAGCUUCGUUCAUACGCCAUCAGCACUGGGAAACUUCAUGAGCUCAAUGACAUUGAACAAGAUCAUGAGCAUAGCUAUGACAAGCUCUUUUCUUAUAUUGCAUGCUACUUGAAGCUUCCAGCAUCCGUGCCUUUUCGUUAGCUAUUUUUGUUGAAACCGAAGGGACUUGGUCAGAAACAUGGCAGUUGAAGUUGCUUGCAAUUGUUGGGAAACCAAGCUGGAGAUGAUUUGUGUGUCUUCAGUUCGGCAAGUAAUUAAUACUAUUGCUGUACGCAAGUAAGGAAGCCGGCCUAGUCUAGUGGAUGAUGUUAAGAAGGCAUUUUUGUAUCUUCAUUUUAUUUCCGUUUGGUUAAUUUGUAAGGGUCUAAUCAAACACUCUGAGUUCUGUAAUAUCUACAGUUUUCGAGGAGAGGAGCACUUGAUCUAAUUACACAUAACAUCCUAAUCCAGUAGUGCCCAACAACCUUGUCACCGGCGGAAAACAAAGUUCGGCGCCAUACUCUAAGAUGGAAACUGUCGUCUGCAAUGAUGUAAUUGCUUGCAUACAGCAGCAGAUAGACUCUGCUGACAGAACCAAAAACGACCACCCAACAAACAGUUAUGUUGACAAAGAGACGGCAAAAUGCCACCUGACCUACUCUGUGAUCACUGUUGAAUGGAUCGCUUCAGAAAUUACAGUGCCAGGUCACAAGGGACCGGUCACAGGACAAACAAAUAGUCGGAUCUCGGCCGGUGGCUCCUCCUUGUGGUCUUCUUCCUUCGUCGGUCUCCAAGCAGCCAGCAGAGCCAUCAUGAUCGACUCAAACACAAACAGAUGACCGACCAGCUACAACAAGUAUGGCUCGACAACAGCCUGCCCAAACCCAGGUCCAGCCUUUAUUUUCAGGCCCCAGUAAUAAUCCCUUAACAGUGUGAUGAAGUGUCUUCGCACCAGUUAGAAGAAUAUUUCCUAGUUUGCAAAUUCUUCCUUUCUCACUUCUUCUCCCAAUCUCCUCAUCAGAGCACCUUCAAAAGCUUCAUGACAUUUGUUUGACAGCACACGCUUUUACUGAACGUUGAUCUCUUCACCACCCGCUGGUUCUUCAGGAUGGAAUGACGAAAGGUUGCCAUGGAGUUCAGAACAAAGUUGGGCAUACAUCUGACGAAAUUUCUGUAUCUUCUAACAUCGGAGAGGCGCCAAUCUGAGAUUUCGAAGAAAACUGGGCGAUCAACUGAUCUUCCCAAUCCAUUUCGUCAGGUAGCACUGUGCGUGCUAUAUGCAGUCAUGGACCUCCUUUUUUAAAAGGUAAAAGAAAAGGAACAUGCAUGAGACAGUCUGUUGCUGGAUUACCGUUUUAAUAAUAUGAGCCGUAUGCAUCUAUCUGAUGCAGAGGCUGGGGUAAAACCCCUUUUCGAAAAAAAAAAUUAGACAGUCUGAUGUAGAUAUACUAAUACUGCUAUGGUGUUAGCUAUUCAUGUACUCCCAUCUCCAAAAUAAAAGGCAUAAAGUUUCGCUAUAAGUCAAAGUUUCUAAAUUAGGCCAAUUUUGUACAAAAUAAUAUCUACAUCUACAAUACCACAUAAAUAAUAAUGGAUUCAUCUUGAAUUAUAUUUCCAUAAUGUAUUUACUUGGGAUUGCAGAUAUCGAUAUUGUUAUCUAUAAACUUUAUCAACUUAAGGCAACACUUAUACACCUUAUUUUGGGAUUGGUGGGAGUAUUAUGCUAGGACAUCAUAUAAUGCUCAUCAUACCUGGUCUACUGCCUUAAGCUCCUCGAUUAUAUCCUUUGCAUUAGGUCUUUUCUCCAUGCCAGGGUCCACACAUUUUAGGGCUAUGGUGACACAUUGUCUUACUUGUUUGGUAUAUUUUUCCACUGGUUUAUAGUUUGGUGUGGUUACAAAUUUGUUCUUCCAACUCUCAAGCACCUGUAAAGUUGCAACAGUGAGCUUGAAUAAUUGUAUAUGCACAAAAUCUAGAUUAAUUCAUCUUACUUUCUCCGUGAACUGCUGGAAAGAUGGAUCAGUAUGGUUGGGACUAUGUUGCUGGAAAUAUGAAUAGUCCCAUGGAUAGUCCCUACCACCUGUGAUUAUCUCUAUGACUAUGACACCAAAACUGAAGAUGUCUGCCUUGUACGAUACUACACCUCGGACUCUGUACUCUGGUGCCAUAUAUCCACUGCAACAUAAUACAUAAGUAAGAAGCACUACAAUCAUAAACAAAGAGAUGCAAAGUAACAGAGGGAAAUAUAAAACAAGAGUUGCAAGAGGUGUACAGUGUUCCCUCUUUGUUAUUAGUGAAAAAUCGUGAUUGUUGCUCGCCAAAGAUCCUCGACAAACCAAAAUCGGCUAUUUUUGGCAUCAUAGUAGAGUCCAUCAAUAUAUUUUCAGGCUUAAGAUCCAGAUGAACCAUACGGCAUUCUUCAUGAAGGAAAUGCAGCCCGUUGCAAAUCCCCUUGAUUAUCUCAUAUCUUGUAUUCCAGUCAAGGCCCGAAGAUUCAUCUACCGAAAUUGUUUAACAGAAAAUAUUAUCUCUAUCUUAAGCCAGCGCAAUAAAGAUAGAGACCAAUCACGUCCUUAGGCUAGUGACACUACAUAGUUUGGGCGCUGUUAUAUGGAAAGACAUAUAGAUAGAAACAAAGUACAAGUAUAGUGUGUCCGUACUAUACCAGAAAUAUGUUUGUCGAGGCUUUUGUUGCAUACAUACUCGAAGCAGAUCAACCUUUUUGGUUUUUCAGCGAAAACACGCUUCCCACUACCACUUGGGAACUCCAUCGUUUCCCAAAUUGAUUCUGCACAGUAACCUAGUAACUGUACUACAUUUGGGUGCUUAAUCCCCAUGAGAUAACAUACUUCGUUCCGGAAUGCAUCCUCUUUUAAAUGUAUGUCAAAAAGCUUCUUCACAGCAACAAUGCUCCCACUUGAAAGAACUCCCUGUGUUGUAAAUUAAAACUCUCUUCAUAGUAUGCAUAUGUAUGUUUAAUUAAUUAAUUAUUAUUAUUUAGUCUUGCCAACAUUUAAAACGUAGAGUUAAAAGAUAUGAUUGUACCUUGUAUACUUCUCCAAAACCACCUUCACCAAGGAUUGACUCACUGGAAAAAUUACAUGUGAUGGCCUUCAAAAAGUCUAGUGGAAAAGACAUUGGUGUUCCAUCUGAAUCCUGUAGCUUCUCCUCUAAUUCAUAAUAAGGUCUAUCCACCUCAGCUGGCAUGUAUUUUUGGGGAUUCAUAGGCCCGUAUACAACCAUCAAAUUCACCUUAUCAACAACUUCACCAGCCUCUUGAUGGAACAUGUUUUCUGUGAUAACCUCAUCUCUAAGACCCUCACUCAGUUUCAUGCUCUGCACGAUGAACUUGUCGGCAUGGUCAUGCUCACGAACAUCUCGUGCUUGCACUUUUAUCUGCACGUGAUACUUGGAUUCUGGUUGCACAAUGCCUUUGUCUGGCUGUGCGCUGUAUUGUAUGCUUGGCAGUUGGAUGUUGAAGGCAAUGCAAUUACGUGUAUUAUUGGUUAGCUCAAUUGAGCAUGAUAUCUCCUUCUUAAGCACAGAAGGAAGCCAUAGUUCAAGCGGAUUAAUAUCAAGCAUGUCAUCUUCAUCGAAACAAGGGCUUAUCUGCGAGGAAAGAGCUAUAUGUGUUUAGAUGAUGAUGUAUACUCUCCAUAUUUUAUAAGUACAUUUGUAAGAAUGCAAAAAGUUCUACAUGUAUUUAAACUAAACAACUACAUGUAUUUAAUCUAAAAUAAAGUUUGGCCGAACACACCAAGUGUCCCAAAUUUGGGUUUUUUUCUACUGUUAGCCCAACUAACCAGUAAUUCAGGCCAACUAGAAUAGUUGUCAAACAAAUAUUUGGGACUAUGCUAACCUAGCAGGGUUAAGAUUAGCUAACCUAUGUAUUUUAGACUAGAACCAAAUUAACACAGCUUUACAGUUGAAUAACUGACUGUUUCACACUUGAUUGGCUCUCUGGUCUCAAUAAUACUAUUCUCUCUUUUGACUCCAGAUGAUCGAUGCAUCUCUUUCCACAUUUUGAUUACAAUGUAUCUUGAACUAGCUAGCUUACCUGGCUUAGACUUCUGACUAUUUCCGAUAUGGAUGGUCUAUGUUCUGGUUCUUGUUGCCUGCACUGUAGUGCUAUUUCAAGGCAUCUAGUUACUUGCUGGUAUUGUAGUAACGUUGGUGGUUUAUUCCACCUGUGUCUCCACCUUCGAAGUACCUACAUUUAACAAAUGUUAAUUAUUUGUGAUAACCCCAUAAUCUUACAGCGCAAACUCUAUGUCCAUGUAAUGGUGUGUGUAUCCACGGUAGCGCAUCAGUUCACGUCAACACCAGGAAAAUAAAAACAUCCACCCAUGUGGGAUAUAUAUCCAGAAACAUGUGCUUAAAUUACAUGUGUUAGUCAGCAGGGUAGUAUGCAUAUUAAAGUGUGAAACUAUUGUGCAAAACAUCAUCAUCAUUCUAAAAAGUGAGAGAAAUCGCCCUUACAUUAUUCUUAUCAGGGACGGACAUACACCCCGUCACUAAUUCAAGAAUUAUGGCACCCAAACUAUAUAUGUCAGACUUGACUGAAAUUUUGCCAGUGUUCUCGUAUUCCGGCGCGAGAUAUCCUCUGCAAAAGAAUACGAAACAAAAUAAAUGUAGGGUUGUAGAUAGACAAAAUGUCAGUUAGCUGGUGGUUCUUCUGAUGCAUAGCUUACCGUGUUCCAAAAUGUUGACCCAUAGUAGUUGAGUUUUCAUUUGGUCUUGUCAAACCAAAAUCCGUAAUUUUGGGGACCAUAUGAUCAUCUAGUAAUAUAUUUGCCGGUUUAAAAUCCAUAUGAGAAAUAUUCUUUUCCUCGUGAAGAUAACACAGACCCUUACAAAUUCCGGUGAUUAUCUUAUAACGUGUUUCCCAUUCAAGUCCCCUUAAUUCGUCUGUAGAAGAAUAUAGGCAUAAAAUAAAGCAAGGGGUUAUGUUAAAUGACAAUAUCAAGGAAUGAUUGAAUGCUUUUAAUUAAAGUCUGUCACUAACUAUUGAUCCUGACUUGAAAAUUGAGCACUAGUCAAGGCAAUAAGGUAAAGAAAUAAGAGAACGGCUGCAUCAAAUGCAAAAGGAUGGUACCAGUAAUAUGCUUAUCAAGGCUUCCAUUGCUGAUGUACUCCAAACAGAGCAAUCUUUCUCUCACGUUGACAAAGAUAAUUUCUCCUGAACCAGCCUCUUUUAUUGUCAUAUAAUGUGUAUUAGAACAGAAGCCAAGAAACCGGACUACAUUUUGAUGAUUGAUGGUCAUCGGGCUAAUGAUCUCACGGCGAAAUAGCCUGUCAUCAACUGUGUGUGCAUCCACAUGCAUCCUCUUGACAGCAACAUUAAUCCCGUUUGGGAGUAAACCCUGUUGGUCAGCGUAUAAAUGAUGCUCAGCACUAAAACUACAAUAUCAAAACAGAGUGGCCAAGUUCUGCUUUUAUUGGUGGUAUUUUUUUGAACGGAAACACAGUAGGAGAGUUUCCUAUUGUACAAAACAAGAUGAAUAAGUGGUACUUUUCAAUCAAACUAAUGACAUACUACUGGAGUCGAGAUCUUUAUACAAUUUCUAAAUGGUAGGAUUACCUUGUAAACCUCUCCAAAUCCACCCUGGCCAAUUUUUCUCUCUGCAGAGAAAUCAUCCGUGAUGCGCAGUAACAGUGCUAAUGGCAGAUCCCUCGGGUUCUCGUCUCCGUUAACUAUACGCUCCAGUAGACUUUCCCCCUCCAUUCUAGGUACACGGUGCUAUUCAGAUCUAGAGCAUGGAAAAAAUUAGUUUGCUUGAGAGUUGAGACAGAGGGGCUUGCAGAAUGAAAUACAUAGCAAAUGUAGCAAGGAGAUGCGUACCUGCUGGGGGUCAGGCCCUGUACGAGUACGAAUGUAGUCUAGGAAGCGCAAACUGGAUCUGGAACUGCUCGAAGCGAUUUUAGCACAUUAUACAAGAUGCAAAGAUUGUGCUUACGAGUUAAGGCUGCAACUGCAGGCUAGUAGCUCUGUCUCAAGACGGAACACUGAGUUAGCACUGAAAGUCUGAAAGAGUUGCAAUUUUCUACAACCAAAAUUACCACUAGUCAGUACGAUAGUUACCUCGAUGGAUCAGGCCGGUUCAGGUCUUGAGAACGUCACCGCUCGCCGGCGGCAACGGACAAGACGGCAAGACUGCUCGGCGCUCGGCGUUCGCGCAGCAGAGGUUCGGCGGUGCCCUGCCGUCCGAGCGAGGGCGAGGACGGAGGGAUGGUGACGAGGGAGCAAGGGAAAGGAAGGGGAGCCGGUGCAGGGCCGGCAGUCGUGUAGGCGGGCGGCGGCUUGGGUCAAUGCCUGGAUCUGAAGGGAGCGACGCCUCUUUUUCUCUUGCUUGCAGAGCUUGACCUGGCUGACACACGGUUUCUCAGUCAACGACCAUUGUCAUAGGAGUGAGUUACCACAUUUAGGAUUUUUUUCUUUAGAGCUUUUUGGUUCAUAGGGAUGGAUUUCUAUUUCUACAUAGGAUUGGUUCCUAUCCUCCACAUUUCAUAGGAAAAUAAAAAAGAGCCUAGACUCAAUGGAAAAAUUCCUUUGGUGUCAACCAAAUGACAUCUUGUUUCCUAUUCCUACUCAUAGCAUUUGAGAUACAUGUCAUCUCAUUUCCUACAAGAUUCUUAUUCCUAUGAUAAUCCUAUCCUAUGAAUCAAAAGAGGCCUCAGAUUUUGAAGGCUUUUAACACGGUUUUACUCUGGUCUUGCAUUUUUGCUUGAUCAUGUUAGAUAGGAUCGGUAUUUUGCGUCAAUGAUUCGCAAAAAAUGUGUAAAGAACGGAUGGCAUCAUCAAAGAUCAUGUCCAGACUUCUUUUGUCCAUCUUACACCUGUUCAAACGCUGGCUCAGCCUGAAGCACAUGACCAAUGCUAUUUUUUAAUUAAAAUAAUUAUAUUUGGGAUAUCAAAAUAAUAUAAUAUACCUAUAUUUUAAAUAAAAUAUACAUUUCUUGUUAUUUCAGGCUUUUUCCGCCUUUCAGGCCGGGCUAUGGGCAGGAAAUGGAGCCUAGGUGUUUUUGACCCUGGGCGUCACCUUACACCUUGCCUAACGGACACGCAUCGAAAAUGCAGGGUUCCAAAAGUGGUGUUCUAGACGAGUUGCCUCUCAAUGGGUUAAUUAGUGUCAUAAAUGCAUAUCUAGCGGGGAAAAUGGGUUAAUUAGUGUCAUAAAUGCAUAUCUAGCGGGUAAAAUGUGGAAUUCACUCCUCUUUUAUUCUAGCGAAAUUACUGCACGGCGUUUUCCUCAUACGAUGCAUCAUUCGGUGGUGUUCUGCACUUUGAUUUUCAUUAGGGCUGCAAGAAAAACUUGAGCCUUGUGAGCCGUUCGAGAUCGUUUCAUUUAUUUAUUUUAUUUUGCUUGACUUGGAUAUCGAUUCAAAAAGAAAAACAUAGCUCGGUCAAAAAAUGAACUGGUUAUGAACCAACGCAAACUUGCUCGAUUUUAGCUUGGUAGCUCAGUAGUACUAGUGUCAAAAAUGCUCUUAUACUAUGGGGCGGAGGAAGUAUAACUUAAUUAUGUUGAAUGAUCCUGUCAUAUAUUAAAAGGAAAACGGAUUUAUCAUAUACAUCAUGUGUGUGAUUUUUUCUUCAUUUUAUGUACAACCAAACAUAAAAAAUAAUGAACAUGAAGCAAAUUUAGGCUUUAAAAAGACAUGUGCUAAGUACUUCCCGGUUGACCAGCUGACCAGUCAACCAUUGAAUUUUUCUAUAAAAAAACUGAAAAAUAAAAAAUGUGAAUACAAAAAUAGUUCACGAAAUUGAAAAACUCUUUAUAUAUUUUUAAAAGGUUUAUGAGUCCAAAAAAGUUUACAGAUUUUAAAAUAGUUCAUGAAUUUUAAAAAAGUUAAUUGAAUUUGGAAAAAUAUUUAUCUAAUUUUAUAAAGUUCAUCAAUUUACAAAAAAGGUUCAUGAAUUUUUUUUAACUGUGCAUUAAAGAAAACAAAAAAGGAUGAGAAAAGAGGAAAAAAAAGGAUAAACCGGACUGAACAAGGAUAUAAAAGAAAAAAAACGAACUAUCUAUACACCAACGGGGGUGAUGGCCUGAUGGUUAGAGCUUAGUGCUCGCAACGAAGGGGUUGCGACUCCCCUCCUACCCCAUGUGUGGAUUUGGAUUGGCCUCUCAUGAGGCAUGACACAUGCGAAAAUAUAUGUGUGAGGAGGUUUUGGUGGGGGAGCGGGGUUUGGAUUCAGUUUGCAUUUAUAGGGUUUGCCUUUUCAACAAUCCCCUCUCUUGGAUCCGACUUGUGGAGGCAUUCGGGGUCCUCAUAUCCGCCACAUGUAUGUACCGAGUUUAAGAGGUGUCGGACAACCAAAACGUUUGGGCUGACUUUGCUGGCCUAGUAGAAUGGCAUUUUUUUUCAGUCCGAACACUGUUGGAGUUGUUUGUCCGGACGUUUAGGGGGAGAAGUGGGGGUCCAAUUGUAGAUCCUCUAACUAUGGAGGGGGAGGGGGUGGUAAGCAUGAGAAACCACUCUUUUUUUAGCAAAACCACUCUUUUUGUUAAAAAUGAAAACUACUCCCUCCGUUCCUAAAUAUUUGUCUUUUUAGAGAUUUCAAAUGGUCUACCACAUACGGAUUGUAUAUAGACAUAUUUUAGUGUAGAUUCACUCAUGUUGCUCCGUAUGUACUCACUUGUUGAAAUGUCUAGAAAGACAAAUAUUUAGGAACGGAGGGAGUAGGAUAUUGGGCCUUCAACAGGGGCCCACGGACUCGGCCCACGCAGCAACGGCCCGGCCGCUGCGUGCUGGAUUCAUUCGGCCCCUCACGAGAGGCUGGUCUCCGGGGGCCUGCGAAAAUAUAUAACGCAGGAGAGCGAGAGAGAAGAUUGGAUUCGAGUUGGAUUUCUAGGGUUUGCUCAUCCUCAUCCCAAUCCCCUCCUCGUCGCCGUCCGUCGCCUUCCCCACCUCCGGUCGAUCGAAAUUUGCGAUUUUUGAUUGAUUUCCGGACGGAAGACAUGAUCCCCAACUCCGUCGACGCCUUCCUCUGAUCUCAUCCGUCUCCCCCCGAAAAAACCAACCCAGAUUCGACAUACUAUGGUGCGCCGCCGCCCGUCUUCCUCCUCUACCUCCUCGUCGCCGAUGCUCCACAAGAACCUCCGCGCGCUCGGCCCCGGCCUCAAUCCGUUUGCCCCCUUCGGCAUGGGCAACUACUCCCGCUAAUCUCCCCCCUCCCCUCCCCUAUCCUCUGCUCAAUUUCUCCCCGGAUCCGAUUUGCUUCUUCCCCCCUUCUCGUUCUUGAUUUGAUUGGAUUGCUCCUCUCUCUGCUUGAUUGCUUGGUUGGUUUGGAUCUGCUUGCAAGAUUGGACAAGGGGCCACCAUGGUGCAGCUCCGCAGCUCGCUCAGCAUGACCCGGGCGCGCGCUCGCGGCGGUGACUCGGACGACGCCGACGACCGCGGCUGGAACCAGCUCCACGUCGCCGCCCGCAAGGGCAACCUCAAGGAGGUAUGAGCUGCUCCCUCUAUCUCCUUAUUUUUCCGCCUCCUUAUUUUGAGCUGCUGCCACAAAACUAGUCAACUAGGAACGUUUAGGCAAGUUUAUGUUUGGUCACACAAGCGCACAAAUGGAUUUGUCGCCCUUUUGAGACACACUGCAACUUGAGUAGCACCACAAACGUGCUACGGAUGUGACCGAUUAGGAGGGACACGAGACCAAAACUUCGGUACUAUGUUGUCGCCUUGUGCAGCCAAUUAGAGCAAGUUUGUUUGGCAAGUGCUCUGCCCAAUUUAGCCGAUUGAGCCAAAUGAAGGAACACUCUUUUUGUGUCGAAUCACAAUAAACCGAAUCUGGAUGAAUGAAUGAAUUAUCGAUUGUUUAAUCUAGACUCAGUUUAGGCAAGGAUAUGUUCUGUCAUGCGAGCGUGCGAACUUUGGUACCACAAAUGUGUUGCACAUGUGACCGAUCAGGAGGGACAAGAGACCCAACAGUGUGGUACCAUGGUGUGUCACCUUGGGUGGAUAUAAUUGAAGAAUAUUGUUUGGCAUCUGCCCUGCCCACUUCAGUUAUAAGUGCCUACUUUGGCAUCCUGUAGAUAUUAGAUAACUGAAGCAAAUAUUGUUUUGCAUCUACCAUACCAGUUUUAGUUGGGAAAUCCAAAUAAGGUUAGCUCUUAGGUUCCUGCUCCCACAAAACUAGUCCACUAGGAAUGUUUAGGCAAGGGUAUGGUCUGUCAAUCAAGCGCACGAAUGUAUUUGUCGCCCUUUCAGGACAGACUGCAACUUGGCUGCAUCCAAAUGUGUUGCACAUGUGACCGAUUAGGAGGGACAAGACACCCAAAAGUGUGGUACCAUGUUGUGUCACCUUGAGUGGAUAAUUGAAGCAAGAUUGUUUGGCAUGUGCCCUGACCAGUUCAGUUAUAAGUACCUACUUUGGAUCCUUUGAAACAGAUUGCAACUUGAGUAUGCAUAUGUUUUACACAUCUGACCAAUUAGGAGAAACGACCAAAACUCUGUUAUCAUGCUGUCACCUUGUGUGGACAGGAUUGUUUGCCAUUUGCCCUGCCCAAUUUAGCCGAUUAAGACAAAUAAAGAAACACUCUUUGAUGUCCUUCAGGGCAUGUUGAUGUCCAAACUUUGCAUCCAGUUCUGCCAAAAUGUCCUGGAAUUUGGAGCAUGUAUGUCAGGCUAGUAACUAGUUAGAUAUGCUGAUUGUUUCAUAUCUUGUAUAUGUGACCAAUUAGGAGAAACAACCAAACUCUUGUACUAUGUUGUUGCCUUCUGUAGCCAAUUUAAGAAAAGUUUGUUUGGCAAGUGCUCUGCCCAAUUAGCUGAUUAAGCCAAAUAAAGAAACAACCAAACUUUUGUACUAUCUUGUUGCCUUGUGUAGCCAAUUUAAGCAAAGUUUGUUUGGCAAGUGCAAUGCCCGAUUAGCUGAUUAAUAAGCUAAAUAAAGAAACACUCUCUUAUGUUCUUCAGGGCUUGUAUAUGUUUAAAAAUUGCAUCCAGCUUUGGACAAAUGUCCUGGGAUUUGCAACAUAUAUAUCUGAGGCUAGUAACUAGUUAGAUGUGCUGAUUGCAACUUCAGGUCUUGUUAGAUGUACUCAUUUGCAGGUCUCCGAUGUUCUUCUCUAUGUGUUCAUCUAGGACUGGUUAUAAGUACCAAUAAUUCUAAGUUAUAUUCUGUCUCACAUCAAUUCGUUUCAGAGGCCUGUUAUUCAUGGGAUCACCUUAAACCAAAUCUGCAAGAAUGAAUGCAUGUUUUAGGCUAGAUUCUGCUGUAUAGCAAAAAUGUAGUUUUGUUUAUUCUUAACCCAUUGGCUUGGUGACUAAUUAAUCCCAUACAACUUCUUAACUAGAGAUUGUUAUCUUAUUUAGUUAGUAAUCAUCCUCGUGAAAAUCUAAAACAAUCGUUUUUUCUGAUUCUCCCUAGGUGAGACGUCUCCUGAAUGAAGGGAUGGAUGUCAAUGCACCCGCAUGGGGACCAAAGUCUCCUGGCGCUACUCCGCUGCACCUUGCUGCUCAGGGCGGGCAUGUGAAAAUCAUGGAUGAACUACUGGAGCGCGGUGCAAAUAUCGAUGCCCGAACAAAAGGAGCUUGUGGCUGUAAGUUCACUUGUUUUUUUUUAGUCAUUGCCUGUAUUGCCAGUGCCAUUAUUUUUAUUGUUGAUUGUUCUUCCAUCAGUUCUACCUUUCUAAAUGUUAUUGUUUUUAAUUAUUUUUGGUAUUCUAUAUGUAUUGUUUUGGGAUGCCACUCUUAAUUGUCUAUACAUAAAUGGCCAAGCUGUGGAAGUUAGUACAUCCAGCCUAAUUUGUUUCCAUUCUUUUUCUAUGUUACAUGACUAGGUAUGUAGAUGAUGUUUACUUAUGGUGGACCUGCAGAUCUAAUCUUGCUCUGUUUUAAAGUAGCUGAACGGUGUGUGUUGCUUCAUAUAGUAUUAUGUGGACUGAACGCUGUGCAGUACAGUUUUCUGCUAUGUAGCUUAUAUCUAGGUUAUAUAUAUACUCCCUCCGUUCGGAAUUACUUGUCUCGGAUAUGGAUGUAUCUAGAACUAAAAUACAUCUAGAUACAUCCAUUUCUGCGACAAAUAAUUUCGAACGGAGGGAGUAUUGUUUUGGGUUGCUGGUGUUAAUAGCGAUGCAUCUGCUUAAUUGACAUCCAAACAUAGCUUGUUUCCAUUACACGAGAUCUCCAUGUUUUAUUACUAGGUAUGUAGGUGUGGUUUACUUGUAGCUGAUGUGUAUAGUGUAAUCUUGCCCUGUUUUUAAAGUAUGUGAACGUUGUGCGUGGCUUCAUGUAUUAGUAUUUGGGUUAAACCUCCUGCAGUGCUGUUUUCCUGCUACCUAGCUUAACUAGAUUACUAAAAUGCGUUUAUUACUACUAUCUACUCAAUUGAACCUACUUGACCUGUGGAGUCCUAAAUUUAUUUUGUCCUAAUCCAGGGACUCCCCUGCACAUUGCUGCCAAGGAAAGAAACAAGAGGGUGGUCAGGUUCCUUGUCGAGAAUGGCGCAUUCCUGCCCCCUGACCUGAACGACCACAGGUUCAACCCACCCCUCCACUACUGCUCUGGGCUGGAGUGGGCGUACGAGAUGAAGCGCAUGCAGGACGAGAGUGACUCGGGCGGUGAAGCUUCCUUCAGCUCGUCCAACUAGUGAAAAGUGAUCUAUCCGCAGGGGAUUCUGCGGAUCUUUGGGUUAUGAGUGCUUGUUUUUAAUUAUGAAAUCCACCCUUCCUAGCUUAUGUGCCGAGCCUGCGAGGAGCUACGUCCAAGUGAAAGCAGGCUGAUGCUGGUAUUGUAUGUGUAUACAAGAAUAAAUAUGGUGCCGUCACGAGGUCCUGGAGUUGCUGCUGUGCUGCCCUGUAGUUUACCUGGUAUAUUCUGGUACAUCGGUGACCAGGCUGCAGUGAUCUCAGAUUGGAAUAUCCGUCUCUAUGAAGGAACAUCCUUCGUAAGCAUACGUUGUCGAACCUUUGCUUUGUUUUCCGGACAAGUAUUGUACAUCUGAUUGGUUUGUUUGAAAUUGGAACACAUGUUUUUUUUUG